rnacentral:lncRNA from 1 species
AAUGCUUUCAACUCUGUUAACCAAUGAAGCUGGUGUUGGGAGUAUAUUAGGGUUAUGUAGUGAUGUGAAUCAGCUUAGAUAGACACCACUCCCUGCCUGUCAUGGCAAACGGUGCUCUUGAUUGAAUGCUUCGUGCAUUCAAAGGGGAAUUGUCAUAUUUGUAUCCAUGAACGUUAGAUUUUGUUGUGCAUGAUCGAGCAGUAGUGAGAUAAUGCUUUUAAAAGUACUUUAUUUUCGGCCAUUACUUCCUAUAUUUCAGACAAACAGGGAGUUAAAUCCUUAUUGACGUGAAAUAAGACUAUGAGCAACUAUAUAUGUAGCACAAAUAGUAGCACGGACACUUAUGCGACGGACACGAAGAUACAUAUAAUUUUUAAAAUGUAGGUCGCGAAAAUAUAUAUAAUUAUGAAUUAUAUAAAUUGCCAAUAAAAAUUUAUAUAUAUAAUGUUUCUGAUUUUGUUUUUUUAGAGUAGAAAGUGUUUUUAUGACUGGUUCAAAAAUAUUUGUUUCUUAUUUUUAUAAUCGUAAUAAAAAUUUAUACAAUUAAUGUAUUUUUUUUAAAAUUGUGUUAGAACAUGUUAUAAUUGUCAAAAAUCCAACAAAUAUUUUUUGAAUUGGACACUUCACGAAUAUGUUUCUUACAAGUAUCAUACGAGUGUCAGUGUUCGAUACGAGUAUCCAACACCGACACGUCAUUUAAGAGGAGUGUCCGAACUUCAUAGACAACAUGAGCCUUAUCAAGUGCAGCUACAUAUCAAUAUUUUGUUAGAAAUUAAAUUUGUGAAUUAAUCUUUAACUGUCACAACUAUCGAGAAUGACAGGUAGAUCUCAUUUGCCAAAGAAAUAAUCUCGUUGUUUGAAAAGAAAAAAGAAAAUGAAAACAUGGAAAAUAGUGAACGAUUAAACAUUGUGUUGUCCAUCUGAGGCUCAGAUUGUUUUCUGCUAGAAAAUUAACCUUUACUCUUUUCGUUAAAACGUUCCAAUACAAGUAAUUGGUAAUAACUAAUUCAAAAUCAAGUCUCUCCAACUCUUCCAAUCAUAAACCAAAAAGGCACUACAGAAAUAGACAACAAAACUGCUUAUUUAGGUCUCUCACAGCAUAAGCACCACAGCUGUAACAGGACCAAGCGAUUAACAUACACGAGGUAUCCCUAUUACUAUUUUUUAUCAGCUUUAUUCCAUUCUCUCCAGUCUUUGUCAACAUUAUUUUGUGCCCACGUGAUAGCAGCACGUGCAGCUAUUGGGCCACCAGGAAAUCCUUGUUCGUUGAGGGUAUCAGCCAUGUCAACAAAAGGAAGGACCAAGAGUGUACCAGGACCUCCAUACUCGGAGUGUAAGAAAGUGCUAAAAAUCUACUUCAUUAAAGCAGGGUUAGAGUGGAUACAGAUAUUUCAUUAGUCAACUCAGCUCAAAAUAGGAAUGGUGCACAUAGACAAUCCAUAUAGAAUAAACUGCCUAAAUAAAUCAAACAUUGAACAGAACACUGUAUGAAAACAAAAGAUAGCAGACUCUAGUUAGCAUUUGUAAUGCUGCACAAAACUAUUAGCUGAACGACAUUCAAGCAAUAUGAAAGACAAAUUCUGAAAUAUGGAAAUAUUGACAAAGUAAACAAAGAAAGCCACUUCUUCCCCUCUUAUCUUUUCCUGGUUGUUUAAAAGUCCUUACAUUGUCAACUCCCUAGUUUCAUAAACUAAUACAGGAGUUUAACUCGGAUUAUAAAAUUUCAUAAUCUGAUAAUAACAAUAGAUGAACCCAGCGCAAGCUGCAAGUAAACCAAACUAGAACACAACCAAUCUUGUUCUAUACAGCUUUGAGAGAUUUUUUUUGUAAGAAAAAACUAUCACAGGUUUCUCUCUUAACAUAGUUAUCAAUUUCAGAUACCAAAGCAUAGAAGCCAGACUCAAAAAAAACACAUAGCAGAAUAGACUGCUUAUCUGAAUUUUUAUAUGCAAGUUAAAUAAUUUUUACCACAGGCAUGUAAAUGUUCAAAAGCCAAAUUACUCAAAAUUCAUGAUACAUUCAUGAUUAACACUAAUAGGCCACGGGUUUUAAGCAAAAGCUACAAGAAAUGACACCAAAAGUCAUCGAAACAAGCAAAUUCAAAAGACAUUCAUAUUUCAAAAUACAAGACAUCAUAAAUAUUCAAUAAAAAGUAAGAGUGGGUGCUGCAGAGUAAAGAACAGGAGGGGUUGAGGGUUUAGAUGUGUAGGAAAGUACAUCGAAUGAAGAAUUUUCUAAAUUCGGAGAUCUCAAUGAAGCUGUCAUUGAGGGCAAAAUGAGUUUUAGGAAAGCCUCACUCUAGAUCUGUCAUGGUAUGAUUGCUAUUUGAAAAUGCACCACUAAGAAGACCUUACUUCACAUGCUGAGGGCAACCUAAGGUAAUAAUUCUCAUCACUUCUCGGUGACCAAGAACAGAGAAACCAAAAAUUAAACCAGUAAACAUCUGUACAGGAUCAUUCAUCACUUCUCCAAUAAAGGUGCACAAUAUUGCAUGCAAGGUGACAAUAAAUGCUUUUAACGAUUCUUCAUUAUGCUGAGAAAUCAUACUACUAUAACCAACUAAUCAGCAAUCAUAUUCCCACUCCCAACUUCAUAAUAGUUAUUAUAGGUUCUUUCCCACAUGAAAAAAAAAAAAAAAACUACAUAACUCAACUCAACAAAGAAUAAAGAAAACCAUGAGUACAACCAAAUUAAAUAAAGAAAAAAGGGGUAGUAGGGGAGAUGAAGCAGGAAACCAACGAACCUCAGUGCAAAUUCCUACAACUUCCUCAACGGAUUCUCCAUAUAUAUCCUUAUCUGUAAGCUUUUGGAGAAGGUGGCUUUUGAAUUUUCCUGUCUCCUGAAAAACACAAACAAAAAUAGAAAGAAGUUGGAAAAUGAAGUUAAUUUAUGGGUUAACAAAAAGAGAGAAGAGAAGCCAAAAAUGGAAGAAGACAACUCACGGCAUCUGCAAAUUCGGGAAUUGGGUCAGGGAAUUUGUACUCAGCAGCUCUCACAAUAAGCCUUUUGGUGGAUGAAAAUGGUAAAGCUGGGAACUUUCUUCUUCCUUUGACAGCAGGAAAUGAGAAGCGGCGCUGUUUAAAUGUGGCAGAGGUUGAGAUUGAGCGGCGUUGCGAGUAGCAGAAGGGAGUGGAGGAAGGAAGCAAAGAAGAACGGGUUGAAGAAGAAGAAGAAGAAACAGAGAAGGGUAGAAGAGAAGCAGAAGAACUCAUUCUGCAAAACCGUCUCCUUCUUCGUUAUCUCUUCGCUACUUACUUCCCUCUGCUUAGUCCUGUUCCUAAGCUUAUAUAUUGUCAAUUUUUUAAUAUUUUUAAAUAAUGUAUAAAUCUUUUCAAUGAUAUACAUAAUAGUAAAAGAUUAACUAAUUAUUGUUAUUUAGGGAUGAAAAAGUGUGUGGGCCGUGGGUCGUCGUUGAGAAAAAUGGAAUUGACUAUUUCAACUCGUUGAUCUGUUUAAAUUCGUUUAAAUCCGUCUUGUAUAACUCAUAGUUCGCACAGGUUAAAUGUAAGAUAGGGCGAGUUGACUUGCAUGAUCAGUAUAACUUAAAAAUGUAAAAAAUUUUGUUUCAAAAAAUUAUUAAAUAGUAAAAUGUGAUAAUUUUUUUCAUAUGAUAAUAAUAAAAAUUUAUUAUGGAAGUAGGCUAGAGAUUAUAUCCACAGGUGUAAAGAGUCUAAAUAAAAAUUAGAUAAACAUUUAAUCUGUUAAAUAAAAAAGAAAAUUGUUUUGUGAAAGUGAAAAUUAUCAGAAAGGACAAGGAUUAGUGUAUUAAUAGACUCAUUCCUAAGUCAUUAUUGGUCAUUUUAUCAUCCCAUAUUUUCUUAAUGCAAUCUCAUAUUUCAUAUUUCACAUUUCAAAAUUUUUAAUAACAUCUUACUAUAUGAGAAUAAAAUUAUGAAACCAUUUGUCUAAUAAAUCUAAAUAAAUAAAAAAUUAAAUUUAUUCAAAAAUUCUAUUUAAAAAUUGUUUUUUAUUAAUUUUUAAAAAAAGUAUUUCUUAUGCGGAUUGACACGCUAGCCCGCGGCUCAACCCAAAUGUCUGACGGGCUAGAAAAAUCAACUCGCAUAUUCUACGUAUGACAGGUCAACUCAACCCACAUUUUAUGAACUAAGUGCAGGACAGACAUAUGUGAGACAGGUCAACCCGCAUUGUCAUUGUAUUGUUAUUAUCAUCAUAAUAAUUAAGUAUUAUUACAUUUAAAAUAAAAUAUUUCAUAAGAUGUGAAGCAGAUAUUCCGUAUUUAUAUUAAAUAUAUAAUUAAUAACUUCAUAACUAAUUAUGAUUUUUUAAUUUAUUUCUAAAGUUAUUAAAUAAAUACAUAUACAAAUUAUCUUAUCCGUUAUUAACAUAAUCAAAGAACAUUAGAAAUUUCACAUAAGAAAACUUGAGACUGUGCAUAAUCAGAGUUUUCCGGUUUUCAAGCUCUAAAAGAUAAUUUUUUAUAUGUUUUGAAAGCUUAUGAAUUCUAGUUUUAAAAUAAAUAUUUACUUUUGAAAAACUUCAUACCAAAUUUGAAACAAAGAAAAUCUAAGUUACUUCAUUUGAAGUUUUCAAUAUAAAAGUAUGAACUUCCAAAGGUCAUAGCUUCUGCAUUUAAUUUUUUUUUUCUGAAAUCCUCUUUUGAAUGAUUUAAAGCCUAAACUAAAGUGUUUUAACUCUACUUCUAAACAAAAUUAGUAUUAUAUCAUAUGGAUGAAAAAAUUAAGCCUAACACAGAUCAACUUCAUUUGUACUUUUUCAAAUUACAUACUCUACAAGAAACAUUAAUUUAAAAUGUCAAAUAAAAUUAAAAAAUUGUACAUCAUACGCAGUUGAAAAUGUUAUUAAAUAUAGUUUGUAAAUGCUAAAUUAGUUUUGAAAAAAGUUUUACCAGUUGAUAAAAAAAAAUCAAUAAGUUUGUGUUACUUUCUUCAGUAUUUUUAAAAUAGAGGUUUAAAAUUAGAAAACUUAUAACUUAUUCCUUUGGAAAACUUUUUAAAUGAUUCUAAAUUCUCAAUUGAAUAUUUUCAUGAUAUGGGAACUGUAAAACAUAAAGAGAAAAGUACAUAAACAAAACAAAGAUCGUUUAUAAUUUUUCAGCUUAUAGGCCCAGAAAGAAAAAAUAAAUAUUUGAGAUAUAAAAUUAAAUCUAAAUGUUAUAAAUUAUACAUAGUUGAAAUUAUUAUUCUAUAUAGUUUCGAAAUAUGAAAUUAGAUUUUUAAAAUUCAUUACAAAUUGAUAUAGUUAAAAAAUUUAAGCUACGCUACUUCUGAACAUUUUAAUCCAAGAGUACCAACUUCCAAGGUUCAUAUCUCCUUUAUUUUAAAACUAUUUUAGUAACUCCAAAAUCUAUGUUGAAUAACUUUGAGUCUAGUUUCUAAAAAAACGAAUUUUGAUAAAUUUCAUUAAAUUAAACUUUAAUUAUUUUUUGUUCAGAAUUUGGGUACACUGAUUUUUGGAUUUACGUUUUUAAUUUUUUUUAAAGUAGAAAAUAAACCCAUAAAAUUGUAUAAAUAUUUUGACAAAGCAUCUCUUCGAUUUAUGAAAAUUUCCAAAUGAAAAUAGUAAAAAUGUGAUCUUGGUUAGUCACAAACAAUUAAAAAGUUACCAACAUAUCCAGAAUUUGAUAUAGAUUAAAUAUAUAUAAAAGAUAAAGAAGUUGUAGUAAAAAAUAAAGCAUGAAAAAGUAUUGCAGACGAUUUCAAGGAGAAGGAAAUGUCCAAUAGACUCUUCGUAGGAACCAAUGGUGUGUUUGAGAAAUAGGGUAAGUGAGAAUUUUGUAUAGAAGAUUUAUUUGUAGGAAAAAGAGAAAUAGACUUCUCAAUCUUUUAUUUUACUCUAAUAAAUGUUUGUGUAACAUCUAAUUUAUUUCAUGGAAAGUCUCUUUUCACUCGUAUUUUUGAAUUUUUUUUUAGUGUUGACACUUAAUGUCUUAACUUUUGGUAUUUGGUUUUAGUGAUGGGUAUUUGUAAAAGGUUUUUUAACGCUGAAGUCAAUAUUUUGUAUUCAGUAUACUUUUACAAUGAUUUAGCACUCAACCCAUUAGACUAAAUAUUGUAAUGACUAGAUUAGACGAUCACUACAAUUUUUGUAUUUUUAGCAAGAUUAUUUAUUAGUUUUGGUUUUUUGAUUUGCCCUCUUUUCAUUCUCCACUUGCAAUCACUUUAGAUAGCUUUUUAAAUAUGUCUUUUGAUACUUGAAUCGAUUUUUUAUUUUAUUUUUUUAUCAACAAUAACAAAUAUAUAAAAGCGAACCACUUAAGGGGUGGAACAACUCAUUUACAAGGGAUACAAAUCCACCGUCUACCAGGACCCCCCCAACCAAUCAAGCACAAGCGCAGACCACUCAAAGGCCCUAUCAUACCUUAAGAAAUCAAACUCAUACAUAUCAGGGGUUCCAAACACCAACUGAAAAAGGAGAUUGAAGCAGCAUGAGAUUCGCAGAAAUCCAAGACCAGACCUUUACUUGCAUCAAAGUACAAACUUCCGACGCGUCGACCACCCCCUAUUGAAGAUAACCAAAUUUCUGUGAAUCCAGAUUUCCCCCACUACCCCAACCCAAAUUUUAUUCCAAACUUCAUUAAUCAAAGCGGGGGACGUGUUCAUCUUGAACUGUGCAAAGUUUAACAUAAGGUCAUUGUGAGAAACGAACGACACACCCAGCCACUUAUAGCAGAAGCCCUAUACCCGCCAAGCAAAGUUGCAUUCGAAAAACAAGUGACGGUAUGACUCUUCCUCCUUUCCACACAAACAACACAAGGAACUUUCCACCAGCACCCCUCGUCUUUCCAAGUUGACCCUGGUGGCAAUCUUGUUCUGCAACACCCUCCAAGCCGUAAGUAAAGCUGAAGGAACCGCUUUACAAUUCCAUAGCUUUCUAAAAAUCGGAGAAGGGUUUGUCACGUUAACCCUCCUCACCAAAGAGUACGCAGAGUUAACAGAGAACUUCUGAUCACCCUCUCCUUUCCACACCCACCUAUCCGCCUCUCCCAAACUCAUCCUCGUCUCAAGUAAAGCCUGGCUCAACUGAUCCACCAUAGGCAUCUCCCAAUCAAAGAAAGACCUGCGCCAGUCUACAUGCCACACCCACACACCAUCAGACUAGGACCCAAGCUCAGCCACCCUAGCAUUUUUGACCGUACAAAUAGAAAACAGUCUCAAAAGUGCUCUCUUCAGUGCACCACCAUAAAGCCAUCUAUCCUCCCAAAAAGAAAUGUCCUUCCCGUCACCAACUUUUCACUUGAACCCAUCUUCAAAACUUUCGCCCCAUCCCUCCGAGGCUCAAACCUCUUUCAAGUCUUUCCACUAAAGAGAACACCUACUACUUCUAUCUUCUCCUCUCAAACUUCUCCAACCACCAUAUUUAGAGGCGAUGAUCUCCUUCCAAAGAUCGCCCUUAUCCGAACCCAACCUCCAAAUCCAUUUUCCUAACAGAGCCAGAUUAAGGUAUGAUAGGGCCAGAUACUUGAAUCGAUUAAUUUUGGAUUCUACAAUAUCUUCAUCUUUUCUUAUUGUGACAGGUGCUCAAAACAGAAAACUUGAAUUUGUUUUCAAUUUGUUUUGUUUCAAAUCUCUUUAAGAAACUAAUUUGAAUGUAUUUGUAAUAUGGGUUAGUAAAACAAAUUAAAACAUAAUAAGAAAAUCUUUUUGUUCCAGAUAAUACGUUAUACUAAAAACAUUCUACUUUAGAUUUUCAAUUAUUCAAUUAUUCAAUGUGUUUAUGUUUAAAAAAAUUAGAAAUAUUUGCAAUAUAUUGCCAUUGAUAAAAUCUCUUUAAUCAAGAUAAUUUUAAACAAUAUAUUUUUAUUUCUUAAAAGACACAUUAAUAUCUUUUGUUCCACAAAAUUUGCAUAUAAAAUAUUUUUGUUUUCAUAUAUUAUAUUACUUUGAUUAAAGGUGUGUUUAGCAAAUAUGUGUAUUAUAAAGAUUUUGUUUCUCCUAAUUAAUUGUUUUAAACAAAAUAUGUUAGGCAUUCAAUUUGUUCAUCAAACCAUUUGUCAUGAACAAUCUAUUAGACCGUCUCUUGUGAACACAUGUUGUAUAUGUUUAGAAAGUACUGUAGUUGUACAAAAUAUUGUUAGAACAUUCAAGAAACAAAUCAACCAUUCAAUUUGUUUUUGUUGUAAUCAAAACAUAAACUUCACAUAUGAUUAAAACAUAAAUUUCAUAUACAAUCUUCUAGUCAUUAGAUCGUCUAAUGUGAUAUAGAUCGCCCAUAAUCUCAACAGACUAUUUAGGAACUUAACAAACCAUCUAAACAGAUCGUCCAAUGUCUCAACAAAUCACAACAAAAUUCGAACAAGCUUUUUAGUAUGAAUUUUCGUCUUAAUUAAUAUUGCAGUUAUUUUGUUCCAAAUAAUAUAUAAUCUUUGAUCAACACCAGAAAUUUGGUUGUUGGAAUUUGAAGUGGAAGGUACAAACUAAACAAUUGCUUUUAAAGUCUGAAUUAAAGUUUUUAAUUUAUUAUAAUUCAUUCAUUUAUAUACUUUUUAUAAUAAAUUAAAAUAAUUUGUUUGUUUCCGUAUCGCACUAUAGAUAAAGUGAACAAAACUUCAAAUACUGAAUUUUUUGGAAGAACCCACCACAUCAAGAUGAAAUCAAGCAUAAUUGAUGAAUGAGUAUAUUUUAUUUUGAAAUUAUUUUUUAUUUUAUUUUGUAAUUUAAUGUUUAAUGAACUUUGUAUUUGAAUUUGGUUUAACUUAUGAAAUCCUUAAAAUGUAUUUAAAAUAUAUUAAAACUAUUUUUAAUUAUAUUUUUGAAAAGUGCAGGUAGAGCUGUAGAACCGGCGAUGGGUUAUGUAGGAGGAGUGGAGUCUUAUUAAAAUUAAAAAAUUGAAUGAGCUUUAAGAUGAUGGCAGUUUCCUCCUACACCCGAACAAUGUUGUGCAAAGACAAAACCAUUUCCAUGUGAAAAUUGUACAUUUAUUUUUUUACAUUUUGGAUUAUGAAAUCCGAUAAAUUUUUGUAUUGGCGCUUUCGGUAAAAUUUUGGAUUGGCGCGUCCAGUAACAUCGCAGAUUGGAUUGGUGCUUCCGGUAGUACAUGAAUGACAAUGUUAAUCCAAAAAAAAUUAAAAAUGUAGAACAUCCAUUAAUAAAAAACCAUUCCGCCAAUCCAUAAUUCAAAAUAUGCAUUUCAGAUUUAGAAAUCCAUAAUUGAAAAAAACCAUUCUAGAUCCACCAAUCAUAAUAAAAAUUAGGCUACCUGAUUCAACAAUCCGAAAAUCAACAAUUUAUGUAACAUUGCUUUCUAAACACCCCCUCAUCCAAAAAGCAACAUAAUUCACUUUCAAAUUGAUGAAUCCAUAACUCACUCUCAAAUCCCAAUUCAAAUAAAAGGUAAAGGUUAGUUUAAGAUUUAAAAAUUGUGGGGUGCAGGAAGAAACUACCUAAGAUGAUAGUUUAAAGGAAGGGACUCAAUCACAAAUCCAGCUCUUUGUGUACCUGUGAAAUAAGUUUAUUUAGAUAAAAAAAAAUAUAGAAUUAAUUAUAGUUUGGACUAAAACUUAUUUAGUCAUUUAUCUUUUAAAUUUAGUUAAUUUAAAUCUUUUAAAAUAGUAACUAUUUUCGAUUUGGAGAUGAGAUUUUAAAUUCUUUUUUAACUUAUCCAAGAUGUGAAAUUUAUCAUAAUAAAUUCAUUCACAUGAAAAUUAUUAAACCAAUUGAUUUUGAACCAAAAACAUGAUAAAAUUUUCGUGGAAACAAAAUUCCACAAACUGUUGUAAAAGAAUCUAAAAUUAAACUUCACUCCUUUUUUCGAUAGAAUCACUUUUCAUAAUAUUUAUAACUAUUUUUUUAUUAAAAAAUAAUUGAAUUUCAUAAUUUUCAUGUAAACAAAUGUAAAGAUAAAUGUUUCAAUCAUCCAAAAAAGUGUUCACAAUCUAAAAUAUAUGAUUUAACCUGCCUCAAACUCUGUUCAAAGUAAGGUAUUAAAUAAAAAUUAAACAUGGUCAUAAUAGCCAAUCAUGCGAACAAUCGGUCAUACACUUAGCCAAUCUUCUUCAAACUCCAAAUGCAACCUAAAAGUUGUGCAUGUUAUACAAUUCAUUCAAGGGAGAAACACAUUUUCUUGGAUGUGAAUAUAAUCUUCGUUCAAUUUAAAGGGCCACCAUUUAAGAAACACAGACAAAAUUAAGAUUUAAGAUUAAACUAGUAUCUUGAAAAUUUUCCAAGCUUCAUAACAACUACUUAAGCAUCCACAAGCUGAAGAAAGUUGAUGCUACAAUAUGUAUUCAAGGUCACAAGCAUCUGUUUUCUGAAUCAGAUAACACAGCACAAUAAACUGUUAAAGGCUAUAGAAUAAACAGUACAGUGUGAUUAAUCCUCUUCUUUUUCCGGAGGCAAACCACAAGGCAGGAGCAUUUUCUGCACAAAAGAUAGAGUUUGUUAUGAAUAGCUGAUGACUGACAAGUUGUAAGCAACAAUACUAAAAGAAGGUUAAGAAGACAAAGAAAAAUUCAGAGAAGGGUCGUGCUAUAACUACUCUUCAGAUAAUUCUAAAUUGUACUUCUUGCUAAUUCCUUUCAGAAUUAAGUUCCUUGGUAAGUUGCUAAUAAAAUGUUAUCAAUUUUUUUCUUAAACCAAAAAUGGCCCCUUGGUAAGUUGCUUUUGAGAAGAUGAGCAUGUCUUUCCUAAAAUAUAAUUCAUCUUAAUUUAGAUUUUAUAUGAGAGAUAAAGUGAUUAUACUGUAAUCUAAUGAUGGCUAACGAACUUGCAUGACCUAUUUAUGCAUAUGCAGAGACCCAGUGUCCUAUGUUUUGAACAUUGGUUGUGUUGGGUUGUCUGGGCAUGCUCCAUAACUCUUAAACACCAAAACUACUCAUCCCUCCCUACACUUUCCUUUCAACAAGUUCAACAGAAAAGCAUUACAAGUAACAGGUGAUUUUCGUUUCUUUUCACCUUUGUCUCAAAAGCACACAGACAACCUGUUUGGUGGAAAUAUAUUGUUGUAAAUCGAUAUCACAAAAGUCUCGUAACCCUCCGAAUCUUGGAGGAGCUACCUUUAGAUGCACUCCACUUUUCUCUCCACAACCGCUCAGCCAGGAGAUGUGGUUCAGCUCAACCAGGUUUUGGGGUUCCUCCUCCAUCUAUAAAUAAGUGUUUCUGCAGUGCUCGUAGAACACACAUCUCUCACAGCUUCUUCACUCUUUUUCACCUCUUCAUUCUUUCUCCUUUUCUAAUAUUUCCUUCACUCUUUUUCACCUCUUCAUUCUUUCUCUUUUUCUAAUAUUUCCUUCACUCUUGUUCACCUUUUCAUUCUUUCUCUUUCUAAUAUUUCUCGUGUCCUAAGUUCUUUUACUCUUAGGAAUUUAAGAGUUCUUACUAGUUCUGAGAUCCUCGGUAUUAUCCGAAAAGUUCUUAUUGUAUCCUGAAGAACUUGUGCAAUAUACUACAGAUAAGUUCUUACAGACACCUCAAGAAAUCAAUCUUAUCCGUGCUUUGCCAGCCUUAUUUAUUACAUAUAUUUCACUACAAAGAAAAGCACUCGUGUGUAUGUUAUUGGGCAAAACUAGUAACUGUUCCCACUUCUUGUGGAUGAACUCUCCAAAUACAGUAGAACACCGAAAAAAAAGUGCAUUGCUAGCAUUUAUCCUUUAUUAAGAUGACAGUGAAACAAAGUAGUGGAUAUAGAUAGAAAGAAAACCUGCAUAAAGUUAUAGCGUUCCCUUCCAAUAGAUUCAUUUUCAGCAAUACCAACGUAAGCCAGUAAAGGGUAGUGGCCAAUAUAUGAUGCAUAGCUAUCACGUUGAAUGUUCACUGCCCACUCACUGCACACCCAUAAAACCAAGAAAAACAAACAAAAAUUAUUGAAAACAAAAAAUCAAAAAUUGAGAAUGAAUUUUGGGGAAAAGAGUGAGAGCGAAACUGACAAUCUGUUCAAAUCGGCAUGACCAGUUCCAACAUAUUUGGCUUGAAGAUGUUCGAGCUGAGAGUUGAUGUUAAACCUAUCACUCGCCUGCAUAAAACGCCCAAAUUAAUUUUGGUAUCCAAAUUUUGAAAACCCUAACUAAAAAAACGAAAUUGCUGCCUUGGAAAGAAAUUGGGAAAAGAGAGUGUACCUGCAUGGUGUGAGAUUGAGUUGCUAUCAGUGCUUAGGGUUUUCCUUCAGUUCAGGUUCAAAUGCUCUAAGAUAUAAACUUUGCUCACUUUCUUCUUGUAUAGUGUGAUUGGUUAUGGUUAAUCUACAAUAAUUAAAAAAAAAACAUAAUAUUUUUAAUUAUGAUAAAAUAGUUGUAUUUCUUUUUUCUUUUUUAAUUUUUAUAUAAUAUUUAAUUAUUUGAAAGUUAUUGUAAAGACAAAAAGAUAUAAUAAAAUAAAUAAGUUGUAAAAAGAAUUAAAGAAAAAAUAACGAGGAAUAAUUGUUUAUUCAAAAUGAUAACAUAUUAAAAUAAUCAAUUAGGAUUUGUCUAAAUAAAUAAAUUGGACGUUUAAUUUUAUAUUUCUUAAUUUUUAUAAAUUAAAAUUAUCUAUUAUAUUUAAUUAAAACAAAAUAUUUAGAAGAGUAAAUAUUUCCUUAAUAAUUCGAAAAAAAAGAGUAAAUAUUUAAUAAUUGUAAAACAAUAUCUUGAGACAGAUUUUGAAUUCAAUUUUGUGUAAAUAAAAAAAAGGAAAAAAAAGAUAUAUGCUUAAUCAUUCCAAACAGAAAAAUGAACAUGUGAUACUUUAAACAAUAUCUUAAGAUGUAUUAUGAAUUCGAUUUUGUGAAAAAAAAGGAAAUUAUAAAAGAGAAAAAUGAACAUGUGAUACUUUAAACAAUAUCUUAAGAUGUAUUAUGAAUUCGAUUUUGUGAAAAAAAAGGGAAUUAUAAAAGAGAAGUGAGAAGAAGAACUAUGAUUGUUUUUUUAGAAUGUGACACACACUCAAAACUUAUUUUUAUUUCUUUUUUGUACUUUUUUUUGUUUCAUCUUUCUCAUGGGAGAUUAAACCUUAUGGGUUGAUUCCUUUGUAAUUCUCCAUUGAUUUUUAAGUUUUGAUCGAUCAAAGUUUUGUUUUCAAUUCUAUUUGGCAAUUUGUUUUAACCUUAUGAUCUUUUUUAUAUCUGUUUUUUGUAAGAGGUUGUUAUUGAAUAAAUGUUAAGGGUUAAUUUUUUUUCCCUAGUUUUGAUUUCUUGGUCAAUUCUUAAUAUUCUAAUUAAUCUCUUAGGUGUAUGAUUCAAGAGGUAAAAGAGAAACAUCUCAUAAGUAAACAUAUAAGUGGAGUAUUGAAUACAUAAGUAGACACAUAUUUUGUUGAUAAGAUUUAGUUGAAUUGGAUUCAUGCAUGUUUGAUUUAGUUUGGCCGUGUUGUAGAAUUGAAACAUGAUCAUCUUUAGUAUCUAACCAUUAGUUGCUAAGAUUUUAGCUACUAAUUACUCUAUAAUCUAAAUUAGUCUUUUAAAGACUAAUUUAAAAUAUAAAAUAAUAGUAAUUAAAAUCCUGGUAGCUAAUUUAAAUACUAAUUUAAAAUUAUUUAUAAUUUUUUAUUAAAAAUAGAAAUCACUUUAAAUACCAAUAGUUUUUUUAGUUUUUAAAAUAAUAUCUAAUUUAGUUGAUAUAGUGACUAAUUAUUUUUAGUCUCUAAGUUUGGUUGGUAUUUAAUGAUUUUAUUGUAGUAUAAUAAUAAAUUAUUGACAAAUUAUCUAUUUAAAGACUUUAUUAAUUAAAAUUAGGCGAGAUAAAAUUAUAGUUUAUUGAGAAAUAUGUAAUGUUUAAAACUUGAAAAUAGAAAAAUGGUAAAUAGAAAAUCCGAAAUGAUACUCUUUGCAAACUGAGAUUUAUUGUUUUUUUCAGUUUUUUUUUCUCUUACGUAAUUUUGUCUUUUUUUUUUCUAUCAUUUGUAUUUCUUGUACUUUAUCCUCCACAUUAUUUAGUUCUCCAACCCUUUAUUUUAUAUUUAAUUAACAUUUUAGUUUCUUAUAAAUUGAACAUUUUCAAUUAACUUUUUAUUAAAAAAAAUUGGUUCUAUUGAGUACCCAGAUUUUUUACAUUUUAAAAAAGUAUAAUAUUAAAGUCUAAAUUAUAUUAUUUAUUUUUAUUUUUGAAAAUUUAUAUGGAUCAAUAUAAUAAAUUUUCAUCAAUCAAUAUCAUAUCAAAGAUGAGCAGUAUUGCAAGAUUUUACAUCUAUGAACUUUCUAGUUGAGUUUCUUUUCAAUAAAUGUUCAAAUUUAAUAUUUACUUUGUAUUGAUAAACCUUUCAAUUAUUCAAAUUUAUAAGGUUAAUACGUUACAAAUUAAUUUUAGGUUAAAUCAAUAAUUUAAAUAAAUUUUAUAACUUCUAAAGAGAUAACCAAAUAUUUAUAUUUCCAAAAGGUCCCAAAUUUUACAUAUCAGGUCUCAUCAAAAGAACUAAUUUUAAGAGUUUUUAAAAGUAUGCAUACCUGUUACUAGUUUUUGAAGUACUCGAACAUAAAUAUAUUCUCUACAAUCAACUUCAAAGAUUAUGUUCAGUUGAAUAUAAAAUUUUCAUUUAUAAUUUAACUACCCAAGAAAGAUAAAAUUUGUGAACAAGUGCCUUUUGAUACAAGGGCUACACGACCUAAGAUAAUAGGGAUGUCAAUGUGGAACGGAUCGAUCGAUAAUGGGGGGAUGUCAAUGUGAAACGAGGUAAUAGGGAUGUCAAUGUGGAACAGAUCGAUCGAUAAUGGAGAUGUCAAUGUGAAACGGAUCUUACACACGAUUCAACCGCUUAGUCCCGUACCUAAUAACCUGCAAUCCAUGCAGGCCAAGUGCAGAGUAGACUCUUAAAAUCUAGAAAUUUUUAUAUGCAUCCUCAUAAUUUUUUCCCACGGCCUCAUUUUUUAAAAUUUUAAAAUUAUUUAUUCUAAAUUCUACAAUUUAGAAUCUAAAUUUGUAUUCUAGAUUGUGCAAUUUGGAAUAUUUUACAAUCUGAAACACAAAUUUUAACUUCUGAAUUUUAUAACUCGAAAAUUAUCUGAAUUCCAUGUUCCGGGAUUAAAGAAAGAAUUAAAGAAAAAAAAGUUCAAUUCAAAAACAUACCUCAAGAAUGUGGUAUAUAAUUUUCAAUUCAUGGUAGGUAACAGGGGAAGUUUAUGGUGAAAUUGUGGUUCAUCUUAAAGUAAGCAUGACUUAAAAAAUAAGUGGUUUCUGUUGGCCUAUACAAAUUCCAAUCAGUUGCCUCACUUCAUUCAGAUCAAAUGGAACAUUUUAUUUACCUUUAGAUCAUGAUGCUAGAGUUGUAGGUGGACAACUAUCAACAGUGCAAGCCAAGAUAUCCCUGUACUCCCUGGAUAUUGUGAAAGAGUCAUAAACUUGUCCAUCACUGCUUUUCUUGUACUCAAACAACAGGUUUGAUUGGUCAAAUGCUGUAAGCUUGACAAAUCCAAAGUCAUAGUCUUUAAAUAUACUCCACUUAGUGUUUAUGGGGGCAAAUUCAGCAAGGGAUGCUCCUCCUCCCCCAACCACUACAUGUAUUGUACCAUUCAAGGGGCCCUUGUAAUUGUGCUUCUCUUUAUUGGUGCAGAUAUUCUGUGUAAGGAAAAUGGCAGUUAUUUUUUCAUGUUUAAUGAUAACAGCAAACAAGAAAGAAGUGUCUAGGUAAUUUAAAUUUUUUUAUUCUUGAUGACAAAGUAACGGCUAGAAAGCACAGAUUCGAUACAACAUAAAUACAGGAAUAUGAUAAAUUUAAUAAUCAUAAGAUACGACACAACUAUAAUACCCGGCAUUAAAUUAAUCUUGAUGUAGUUAAAAAAUGUGCAAAGUUAUUUUAGACUAUAAAAUGCUACAAUUUAUCUAAUUAUUGCGGGAUUCCAAUUUAUAUUGGUAUAAAGUUCACGUACCAAAAGUAUUCAAAGCUAACAAGAAAUAUUUUAAUAACAAAAUGGCCAUAAUCUAAUGUAUGUUCUUGAUGACCAAACUGACAGUCUGUAAAGUGAAGAACAAGAAAAGGACAAGAUGAGUUGCACACUUCCAAAUGUAGAAAGGGUAUUUUCAAGCCAUAGCAUAUAAUCAUGUAGAGCUUCUACAGGGAAGUAAAGGAACAAAGUAAAAACUAACUAUCUCUGAAGUUAAGCAAAAUACCUGAUACACAGGGCAAGUUCUUUCAUAGUUAUGAACAUGUCCAUACAUUGCUAUGUCAACCUUAUACUUUUGCCAGAGAUAUUGAAGGUCCUCCCUUCCCAUUGGUUCUUCAAAAGAGCCUUCUGCCACAUAGAACCCUGCAGAAGAAUAACCAAGUACCCUAUGUGCAAGAAAUAUCAGCCAUGGCUGUUUUUGUCGGUCAACCGAUGCUAGGCAAUUUUCAAUGAAUUUAUACUGUUCUGAUCCCUUUCUCCAAUCGAGUUCUGUGUUAGCUAUGCAGAAUUUGAACAUACCAUAGUCAGCUGAGUACCUGGCAAAGUAAAGUAAUUUUUGAAGAUCUUUCCGGAGGAAAUAAUAACAUUUUUUUCGUAGGCAUACUCAAGAAGGUAACAAAAUUUACUACAUUUAUGAAUAGGUUAACUUAGUUUUAUCUGGUGCAAGAGAAGGAGCAUGGUUAUGCAACUUUGAUGUUAAAGAUGCUAAAUGCCUACAUCAAUUAGAGUUUUAUAAAAGGGAACAUAUUUAACACAGAUGCUGAAAGGUUGAAAUUUAAAGAUAUUUUACCAGAAUUUUUCUCUGUUCUCAGCUGGUACAUAAAACAUGGUUUGAGACAGUACACCACAUUCACCACCAGAAUCCAAGGUCCCAUAAAAGGAUCCAGUCCCUGGCCAGUCACGUUCAUGAUUGCCACUAAAAGCACAGAAUGUAAAAGCAUAAAAAUGACAUAAUCAAGAGUAGCAGUAAACAUAAAAAAGUGCAACUCAUGCAUAACAAGUCAAACCUCGCUGUCAUAUAUGGUACAGUUGAUGCAAUUGGCUCAAUUUGUGCAGUAAACUGAUCCCACUGUGAAAUGUAUCCACUAGCAUAGCAUAAAUCACCAAUGUGGAAGACUAUAUCUACAUCUUUUAAGUCUUUUAUAAUCUGUUUAGUAGUGUUGAGUGAGCCAGGCUGGAAAUUAUUAAAUUCAUUGGAGCCAUCAGCUUCUGCCUGCGUGUGAGAUAAGAAAAUAAAAAGUGGAGUAACCAGUAAUUAAAUCAAAAGUAAGAAUAACUGAUAUCUUUUCAGGGUAUAUUAUUUUUACAAUACAAAAUAUAUAACUUAAAUUCAAAUAUAAAAUAUCACAAAGAAACAAAGGAGAGUAAAUAUAAUUGGAAUUACCCAUGGAUGAAACAGAAGACAAAGAAGUAAUGGAGAUUUAAAUCAACCUGAUCAAUCUUAUCUCUUUUACUUAUAUGUAAUUAUGAAUUCAUUUAUACAAAUUGUAUCUCCAGAUUUCAGAACAUGGUUAUAACUAAAAGGGCCACGAGAAAAAAUAAAAAGAAAGAAAAUUACCUUUCCCAUAUCACCGAAUAUGACUACACGUUGCAAGGAAUUUUGACCUGGAAAAGGAAAUGCUUUGAACUGGUAUUCUUCGCUCCAUAUUACUGUACCAUUAAAUAGUCUAUGCCCCAGCUUGUAUAUGUACCUGAAAAUAGAAAAAUAAAUACAUUGCAAGUUGGGGUUCACAGUGAACUGCUGCUAAUAAAAUCAAGAUGUUCCUUCAUACCACAAUAUUUGAAGUUUUGAACCAAUAUAGAGUUAUGUUACUUAUAAUUUAUACAAGUCACGGGGGGAAAAUGAAGUAUAUUUGGUGCCAAAUCCUUUAUACUCUGGGGAAAAAUUGUUUGUUACUUUUAUUGAUGAUUUACUUGUGUUACAUGGACAUAUGUCAUGAAAAGUAAGUUUGGCGUAUUUCAAAUCUUUGUUAAUCUUUUCCAUCUUGUCAAAAAUUAAUUAGGGAAAAACAUUAAAAGAUGUAGGUCUGAUAAUGGUACUGAAUAUGUAAAACAUGAAUUCUCCAAAAUUUUGUCCUUUAAGAGUAUUGCCCAUGAAUUAACAUGUGUUAAAAAUCCACAACAAAAGCUCUAGCAGCUCAUUUUGGAUGGGACUUACAUCAAUUGCAUGUCAAAAAUGUUUUUUUUCAUGAAGAUUUAGAAAAAUAAGUGUACAUGGAGAUUCUACCUAGAUUUGAAGCUCAUAAUGCAAGGAAUAAGGUUUGCCUCCUAAAGAAGGCCUUAUAUGGACAUAAACAAUCUCCAAGAGCACGCUUUGGGAGAUUUACAUAAGCAAUGGUUUCCUUAGGAUAUAAGCAAAGCCAAGGAGAUCAUACUUUAUUCAUAAAACACUUCAAUACAAGUAAACUUACUCUAUUGUUGGUCUAUGUGGAUGACAUGAUUCCUACCGGAGAUAAUGAAACAAAGAAAGUGGCUUUAAAGUAAAAAUUGACAGCUCAAUUUGAAAUGAAAGACCUGGGAAAACUUAAGUAUCUCCUUGGAAUAAAGGUUGCUUAUUCAAAAAAAUGGAUUUUCAUCUCCCAAAGAAAAUAUAUUCUUGAUCUCCUCAAAUAAACAAGUGAGCUAGGAUGUAGACUCUCAGGGGUUCCUAUUGAACAAAAUCACAAAAUUGGAAGUGAAGAGAAUUCUUCUAUGAAAAACUCAAUAUCAGAUAUUGGAAGAAAACUCAUUAAUUUAUCACACACGAGACAGAACAUUGCUUACACAGUUAGUGUGGUUAGUCAUUUUAUGCAUGAUCCAAGAGAAAGACACAUACAAGCAGUUGAAAAAAUUCUUCAGUACUUGAAGUCAAGCCCAGGAAAGGAACUACUAUUUAGAAAAAAAGACACUUUUGACUCUAAAGAUAUAUAAUGGUGUAGAUUAUGAUCCGUUAGUGGCAGAAAAUCUAACUCUGGGUCCUAUAUGUUGCUGGGAGAAAAUUUAGUCACUUGAAGAAGUAAAAAAACAAGAUAAAGUAGCUCGUUCAAGUGCAAAAACUGAAUUUCGAGCCCUUGCUCAAGGUGAGUGUAAAGGACUUUGGAUAAAGAUCAUAUUAAAUUACCCUAAAACAUAGAACUUGACAUCCCUAUGCAAUUGUACUGUGAUAAUAAGUCAACCAUGAGCAUUGCUCAUAAUCUAGUACAACAUGAUAGGACCAAACACAUUAAAAUUGAUAGUCACUUCAUCAAAGAUAAUCUUGAUAAAGGUUUGGUAGUGCAAAACUCAUGUCCUUACAGAGCUUCACUUAGCAGACAUCUUCAUAAAGGGACUUCCUCAAACAGAUUCCAAGACAUUGUAAGCAAGUUGUGAAUGAUUGAUAUUCAUUUACCAACUUGAGGGAGAGUGUUGUAAAUAGAAGAGUAUUUGAAUAAAAUUAUCCUAAUAUCUCUAUAGUUAUUAGGAACAAUAUCCCUAAAAUCUACUCAUUCAUUUCAAAUGAUUUUUAUCUCCUUUUCUAAGAGAAUGUGAUUGUUACAAAUAUAGGAGUUGAGAAUGUAAUUGUUACAAAUAUAGGAGUUGAGAAUGUAAUUAUCAUGAUAGUAAUUAAUAAAAUAUUUCAUUUCUCUCUCUUCUUUUUCCAAGUUUUUAUCAGAAACGAAAAUAUUACACCAAAAGUUGAUGUAGAUCCUAUUGUUAAACAGAUGAUAAAAUCUUGCUAAAGAUGGUUUUGGUCAUAUGAGAAGAAUACUACCCUACCAGGGGCUCAACUAAGCUAAUGAUGUGGAGGGAUAAAUAAUCAGAGGUAGGAAAAAAAAAGGACUUCAGAGUAAUAAUCGUAGGAGAUCUUGAUCUAAAAUGGCCUUUCUUGAGAAUAAGUUUUUGACAAAACACAGUAGCCAUGUUUUAUCCAUGUAGACCCCACAUAGCGGAUAAAGACUUUUUUUUUGUUGUAUCUGAUUGAAAAAUAUUAUUUAUCAAGUAAUCAAACUGCUUUCAGUAAUUUUUCCUGUAUAAGUUUAUAUUAGUAUUACUUUUAGCAGCUAAAGGAUAUAUUUGAUUAGUUAGGUUUGUUUUAAAAACUAGAAUAGCAAAUUAAUAAUAUCAAUUGUCAAGCAAGCAAUUAUAAUGAUGCUCAAAUAAGAUAUAACAUACUCUCGGUUGGGCCACAACUCCUUCAGAAAACUAGUGUGUAUAUAUCCCGGGUCACGCCAUCCAACAGUCCUUGCUGGUGCACCUACAUUUAUAGAUGAAUAUACGAAAGUGAAUUUUUCAAUUCCACUACUUCCUCUUUAUGAAUGAAAUUUGCAAAUAGCCAUACUCAUUUUAAAACGCAAAGACUGUUAACUGACAAAAUAAACACAUUCUCCAUUGCAAAAGUAACUAUGACUCAAAUAUAGGUUGAUACUAAAGGGUAGCAGAAGAGUUGCAUACCACACAUGGUGUUACGAUCAAAAGUCAGUGUCCCAGCAGGAGAUUUCACAUGGUUCCCUCCUUUAGGUCCCCAUUCAACAAAAGGUUCAGCUUCACUGAUUCCAUAUCCACUUGUCCAAGUUACAGUCAUCUGUUACAAGAACAAAGUAAAUAAUCUAUUGACAAUCCUAGAUAUUCUUAAUCCACAUACAAAGUGUUACAAACCAAUAUUGUAGUGGUAAAUGUAAAAGAGGAAAAUAUCAAGAAACUGGACAAUUAUGUAUCAUUUGCAAUCAAAAGGAAACUUCAAGAGGAGUAAACCUCCAAUUUCCCAGAGCAUAGCUCCUCUAACAAAAUAUCAGAAAAAUAACAGAAUGCUCAUCCCCCGCCUCCUCUUUACUCUAAAUAAUAAAAACAUUCUCUCAUGUUUAACGACCUCUCCACUACUCGUGACACCUCAACUUUAGGAUUUCCCUUCUUCCAUUUAGGCACAUACACCCUCCAUGCCUUAGGUGUGUCAUGCCCCUCAUGGACCAAUGGCUUUUUCGGCCCAUAAACUUUGUUGGGCUCUAACACACACAUUUACCAACAAAUAUCAUUCUAAGAAAGACUUUUAGUUGCAAUCAGAGCAAGCUCCUACUGCACUAAUACUCAUAGGAAUAAUAUCCAAAUCUGUUAAAAAGAGGCAGUUUUGACAUUGCAAUAGAGGGAGCUUAAACUUACUUCAUUCCAUGUUUUCCCUUGUGCUAAUCGAGGAUAUACUGGUGCAUUUGGAUUGAUGAAUGAUACUUUAUUUGACACGGCAACGAGCUUUGGCUGUCAAAAAUAAUUUGAUAAAAGAAUAGAAAGAUAAAGUUCAGCUCAAAAUCCACAUUUCUGGUCACAAACAUCAUAUACACAAUAAAGAAAAAAAGUUACAUAUGCAAACAGGACAAAACAUUCAAACUAACCUAACACCAUAGCGUUGGGACAGGGAGUAUACAGUCACAAAUACUUUCUAAAUAGAAGUUGCAACAGAAGUUCACAAAAUGUAUGCCUAAUGGUAGGAAUUUCUUUUCAUGGGGCGAAAGUCGGAGAAAGAGUCAUGGCUAUUUUACAGUGAAAAGAUAUAGAAUGGAACCAGCUCAGAUGUCAUGAAAGAUGGAGCUGUCUAUGAGGUGCUCAGAUAAAUCGGAGAUGAACAAUAAGAUGGUAUGAGCAUGGUGACAUUAGCCUAGAAUGCCUUGAAUUAUAAGAUGAGUAGAGUUCCAAAUAGUUGACUUAUGAUGGUUUUCAUUAACAAAUAUUGCUUAUCACUGCAAGCUCUCAUGAUGACAUUCCCAUAAAGCCCUUUCCAAGAAUUGGAAAAUCUCUACAAUCAUAAUACAUCUAUUAAUUUGAUAAACAGGAGGAUUAAAGGGUAGAGGAGUUUAUGUACAUACAUUUGUUAAGCCACCAGUGAAAAGGGCAAAUGAGAAGUCGGAUCUCUGAUUAAUCAACUGAAGCUUCAAGGAAGCUUUUCCUGUGCUCUUGUAACUACUACUGGAGAAAUUGGCAUAUUGAUACUGAAACCAGAAAAGAAAGAGAGUUUAACAUCAAAACAUGUUAACUUCGAAGCUUUCUUUGACUAAGGAUUUGUGUCACACAAACCUUGAUAGGCGCAGAACAUAGAAAUGGGGGAUUCACCCAUAUGUUUUCUGCAGGGCAGGUAGAAGCACUGGAAUAUGUGAAACAUUUGAUUCCCAAUCAAUGAAUGGAACAAGACUCUUUGAUUCGUAACUCAUAAUUAUACUCGAGCAAGAUCAUGAUGUGAAGCCUACCUGAAGUUUGCAGGAGAAAACACUCCAAUCCAAUCUUCUACUGUGGGUUUCGGGUUACUGUAUUGCAGUGUAACCCAUUCUGUAUUUUGUCCCUAAACAAUUGCAAGCAGGAUCCAUCAAUUUCUGCUACCAAAACUUAUUUUCAUCUUAGGUAAGUAGUUGAAAGCAGAAAAUGAAGCAACUAAAAACUAAAUGAAAAAUCUCAAAGUGCAGUGAAAGCGUACGGUCAAGCCCAGGACAUUAGGAGUGGCUUUGAUAUAAGCACGCUCAUCAAGAGCAAGUGUUGUUUUAUGAAUGGCAACUUUUGAGAGAGGUUGGUGCUCAUCUGACAUUGCUAGCUGAAAGGUUGCAAGAACAAGCAAAGAGAAAAAGAUCCCUCUUGACUUCCACAUCCCACUCAUCAUCAUCCUCAUCUGAAAAACAUCCAAAAUUACAAAAUGAAAUCAGUGACUGCCAUACUAAUCAACAACUACCCUCUUCCCAGAACAAAAUAAAACAUGAAAAAAAACAUUUGUAGUCUGGUUUAACGAAAAGGGGUAGUCUAUUACAGUCUUCUGAACCAAGGUUCCAAUUUUUGCUUCAAAAAUUCUCCUCGUUUAGUGUUUUUUUAACACCUGAACAAGAAUUGACUGGUAAAGAUGCCCGUGAGGGGAAAAAAACAUGGAACACCUAAAGGGUAAAUCUCUAGCCACCAAUAUUGCAGUGUGAAUUUAAAACAAACAGAUGGGUGGCAUGCAAAUUAAUACCCAGUUCCCAGAUAAGUCUAACUUGGCAUGUGAGUUGAAUCAAAUGACGAUUGAGAUAUGCAAAAGGGAGUAGAAGAAACAGUUGCGACCUUAUGAGAAGAACAGAUCAUGAGAUGACUGAUAAAUAGUUUUAUUUUAUCGUAUUAGUAGGAAAAAAAAGGUGGAAAAGAGAAAGCUUAGAAGUCACAACACAACAUCAUCAUCAUUCACAUGUCUUCACCAUGUUUCAUCUUAUAUUAAAUAUUGGAGUUUUUAUAGUUUUUUUAAAUGUCAAGAAAAAAUUAAAAAAAAAUAGUAAAUGAGAAAUAAAGAAUAGAAAGAAUGAAUAAUGUUAACAUUGAUUUUAUCACUUAAUCAAUUUAAAAAUGAAUUAUAAAAAUAUGUCUAUUAAGAAUUUUAACAAAUUCUUAUUAAAUAGACUUUAUAUAGAUAGUAUAUUUUUAAAUUUAACUUAAUCUUAAAAAAUCAAUUUUUUUAAGAUAAAAUUUACAACUACUUAUAUAUUAUAAUAUAUUAUUAAUCAAUAUAUCACUUAAUUUAAUUUGUUUAAAAUAAAAAUACUUGUCCAUUCUAAACUUAAAUAUGAUGUUUUAACGAAGAAGGAACGAUAAUUCUCGAAAUCUUUUUUACUUACAUAAUAUAUAAUUUGUAAUUGAAAUCUUUUUCACUUACAUAAUAAAUAAUUUGUAAUCAUCCUUCUAAAUUUAAAAGAAAACAUAUUCCUUGAUACAAAAUUAAUCAAUAAUUUAUGAUAAUUAAUUAUAUAACUUUUUGGUAGGAUUUGAAACGAAUUAAUUGGAUAUUUCAACUAAUAAUUGAGUAGAAAUGGUAUUUGAAAAACUUCAAAAUAGGCAAUUAUCUAUUUAUGAAAAUUGUAUAAAUUAAGAAUAAUCAAUUAUAUAAAUGGUUAUUUUUAUUUUCUCCAGUGUCAACGUCUCAAUAUAAUUAAUUAUAUUUUUCUUUAAUUGAAUAAAUUAUUUUUAAUUAAUUUAAAAAAAUAUAAAUAAACAUGGAUCAAUUAAACAUAUAAAACUAGUACAAUUCUAUAAACACAAGAAAAUCAACUAUGAGAACAAUAACAUUUAUUUAAUUAUAUUUUACAUUAUCAAAAACAACUAUUCAUAAUUCUUCAACAAAAUCAGAAUGAACAACAAGAAGAGUCGAAUUUAAGACCAAAUCCGAAACAUAACUCCUAAUUUUAUUAUCUUAAGUUUUUUUUUAUAAUUUAGAUGAGUUAAAAAAAUAUUUAAAAAAUCUAAUUCAUUUUGAUCCAUUUCAUAAAAGAAUAUUCAAUUCAUCUAAUAACGUAUUUUUCAUAGAUGAAUAUUUAAUCCAUCCAAUAAUAAUAAUAAUAUUACUCUAGGUUCUCUAGGUAAGAAACAUAUAUCUAAUUAUGAAGAUUACUAAAACUAGUUAAAAUAUUUAGUUUUAAUCAAUAAUGUCGUAAAAUUAAAGUUUAUUUUUAAAAAAUCAUAAAAUAGUUAAGUAGUAAUUAUAUCUAAUGACGUCAUCACGUUUAAUAUAUAAUUUAAAAAAUAAAAUAAAAAUAACUUAUAUUAUUAAUGAUAUAGUAAAUACUAAAAAAAUCAGUAAAUAAAAAUAAAUUUUAGAGAUAAAAGUAGUUACUAUAGGAUUAAAUAUUAUAUUAGAGACUUAAACAAAUUAUUAUAAGUAAUUUUAGAGAUCAAUUUAAUUUUGUAGUCUCGCAUAUAAUAUCUAAUUUAGUUCAUAUAUUAAUUAAUUAUUUUGUGUUCUUAAAAUUAUUUUUUGUUUAAUAAAUAUUUUAUAUUUAAUGUCAUUUUUAAGUUUUGUUUAUGACUAUCAAAUAUAACCUAGAUAAUCGAUCACUUUACUUGAAGUCUUCUCUCUAACUAUAUAUUUUUCAUCCAUGAAAUUCAAACUUUUAAUUAAAGAGAUCGAGCAUAGUAUAUAUAAGAUGAAUAUGUCUCCUCAAUAUAUUUCACAAUAAACUAUAAACUAUAAUCAUACAAAAAAAAAUUAACCAUUAAAAAAUUAUUAAUAUUUCUAAUAUUUAGAAAAAAGGUUUAUUUUUCGUUGAGAAAAGUGUUUCUCUCAACUUGUUUUAUGACAUAUUGAAUUUUGGUAAUGUCCAGAUAACAUGUUUUAGGGUCCUAAAUUUUGGAGUGGUUUUCCUGCUGGAAUUAAAGUUUCCACUAAAAUAAAGAAUUUCAAGUAAGGAAAAUUAUAUAUGUUUUGUUAAUAGAACCAUAUAUAGUUAAUUUAAAUAAUAAGUUAAUAUAACAAUUGUAUGCAUGCUAGGUUAUAAAUUUAGUUAAACUAAAUUUGAGAUACAUAUGUAAUUGAUAUGAGAAAUCUUGAAUGAUGCAUGUAUUGUAUGUGAAUGAUAUAUGUUGUAUACGAUUGAUGAAAGCUUGCAUAAACUUGAUGUCAUACAUUCUGGGUAAUGUAUGAGAUGUUGUGGUUUUGUACAUUAAGUAUGAAAAGCCAACGAGUAGAGAUCCUUUGGCCUAAGUCGCAUAAACUAAGGUAUCAGUUGGUGAAAAACUGAAGAGGAAGUUCAUAUACACCAUGACGGAUUGUAGUCACAUGAUAUGGAAGUUUGGACUUAUCUUGAUCCGAUUGGAGUGGAUUAGAUGUUAGUCCUUAGUAGGGGAUACUUAAUUAGUCUUCCAGAAGAGAAUAAAUACAUAUGUCAUCACUGAUUGAAAUAUAAUCAACAAGGUAUCAGGGAUUGAAAGGAAAUCAAGGUACUGUGAGAAAAAUGGAUUUAUGUGGCCAUAAUAUGAUUCACGAUUCUUUCAAAAGACGAUAAAUUCAUAUGUAAUCACUAUGAUUGACAUGAAAUCAAAAGUACCAAGGGUUGAAAGAAAAUCAAGGUAUGUGAGAAAAAUGAAUCUAGGCCAAGUGAGUAUGAUUGAAAUGAAAUCAAAGUAGUGUGGUUGAAAUGAAAUUGAAUUAUUGUGAUUGAUAUUUGGAUUUUGUAUGAGUGUUUGAGUAAAAAGGAAAUUAAAUUAAUUAUGAAUUACUAAUCAAAUUAGUUCUUUUACUUGCAGUCGAAACUUUAUUUUAAUAGUUUACCCUUAUAUUUGUAUGUGUUUGUUUGUGUAUGGAUUAAGAUGCUUGUACUAUAUACAUGAGUAGAUAUUUUUACAUGUGCAUGAGCGAGAUUUAGAGAGAAAUAUAAGAAUAAUAAUUUUUUUUUUUAAAUAUGUGAAUUUAUACCUAUAUUAAGUGAAUUAAUAAAGUUUAUAUCUGAUUUGAUAUUAUUUUUGGGGUGUUACAUAAUGGAGUUAUGAAACUACAUUUUGUAAAUAAAUUUUUAAAAAUGUGUUUUUUUUAAAGAAUUUAAAGAAAAAACAUGUUUAAGAAAACCUGAAUUAUGAAAAAACAUAUUUAGAUAGAUUUUCACCUUUUAAUUAUUGAUUGAAUAAUCCAUUGAUUUCUUUAAAAUAUAUUGUAUAUUGAGAUAGAAAUUAUUAAUAAAUAACAAUUUGAUACUUAGUUAUAAAGAUGUUUAUUACAAGACACAAAUUCUCUUCCCCUUAUACUUUUUUUUUUCUCUUUCUAUGAUUUUUUUAAUAUGCUGUUUUUAUUUGUAUUUAUUUAAACAACCUACUUUUAUUUACUCAAAUAUACCUUUAUUGUUGACAGGUGGGAAAUCGGCUAUAUAUAAACCGUUCUUACCUUACUUUGCCAUUUUUUCACAAUUUCACCAUAGAGUUAUUCUCCAAUCCAUUUAUUACUUUUUUAUUUUUAAAAUCUAUUUUGAUUUACUCUGAUGUCUUGUAAUUUUCUAAAAAAAAUAUUUUAAAUUAAAUUAAAAUUUUAUAAUAUACAUAUUUUACUAAUUUAUAUUAAUUUAGAUAUUUAAUUUUUCUUCAAUGUCUUCUCGUAUGAUCUUAUUGACGAUCAUUACCUUUGCAUGUUAAUUCCAUAGAGUUCCGGUAGGAUGUUUGCCUUAAGUCUUGUUAAGUCCUAUUAAGAUCUUUGUCUUGGCUUCAGCUUUAAGGUUUGGUCUGACCUAAUAUAAUUUUAAAGCUCAAUCUUUUUUGAGCUUAAAAGCUUUGAACUUAUUAUUCAAAAUUCUUUACUCUGAUCUAUUUAUGCUUUGACCUUAGUCCCUCGAUGAUUUGGUAUGAGAUCCCAAUGUCUCUAUUUAUAGAUUUUAGUAAGGAUCUUCAGUAGAUUUGGCUUACGUUCAACUCCACUUUCUUCAUGCUGAAGUGAUUUUCUUGGGCUCCAAGCCAUUUUCGGGCUUCUUAGGAUUCAUAUGUUCAGGGAUUUUCGUAGGAUUUGUUUCAAGUUGAGGCCAACACAUCCUUUCUUAGUCAUGAAGUCUUUUGGGCUUGAGAUUGGCUCCAAUGGAAUCUCUCUCUCUUCCUUGUUUUGGAUUAGGUUGACUUCAAGUCUUUCUUGAGUGAAUAUGAACUUUCUUCAUGGCGAAGGAAUCUUUGCACUCAGCCCAUAUGAAUUCGCUCAACCUUUCCUACUCUAAAUCUCUUUGGUUCUUCUGACCUCAAUCCGCUCAACACAUGAUAUCUCCACUCAACAUUUUGGAAGGUUUAUUGGAGGCUUGUUCUCUAGCCUUAACCCAUUAAGCCAUUGAGCAGAUUGAUCUUUUCUUAUCUUUCCCUUGUUUGUUGUUUUCUAUCCUUUUUCUUCAACUUCUUAUUUUCUUAUUCUUUUGAGUCCAACUUGUUUUAUAGGGGUUUGACACGCUUUUUAGAUUGAUUUUCCAUACAUUCUAUACAAAAUGCAUGUCUAUCUUACUGUGACUUUUACAACAAUUUACUCCUUAUCAUUGGACCUCUCCUGUUCAUAAUGGUGGGUGACGACCAUGUCGGUAAGACUCCACUUCAGGUCAUUCACCUCGACAUUUGACUUGGCAGUGAGCUCUUGCUCUCACACAUUGGCAGCACGACAUUGUUAACGCCAACUCUCAGCUUCCAACUUUGACAAAGCAAACUCAAUCUCCAACUCUUUGUUUUUGCAAGAGAUGGAGAUAUACACUUCCAACGCCACCUCUAGGAAUGUCGCUGACUCAACAAUAUACGCCUUUAGGCUCUCAACCUCGGUUGCACCCCUCCAGUUCUUAAAAUUUGUGCCCAUGUGUUUGUCAAGGAUGAGGGUUUGAGCACAUAGCUCCUUGAAGCUCACCAGGGGGAGCCGAAAGAUACAACUUUUGUUCGACCGAAUUCAAGUUGACCGAGACCUUAGUUGACAGAUGAAACUCCCGACCAAGAAAAUCCCAACCACCAAAGCUAGACCCUUUUGACUUACAACGAAUCCUCUUCAGUGAGAAUGGUGUCAACCAUACUUGGCACGCUCUUUAUCCUUCAACUUCUUCUUUGGUUGAUAGGAGGAAGUGCCUCGGUCGUUGGCAACACCUUGACCAAUGUUGCAAGCUCAACUACAACACCCUUUCCCUUGUCCUCGCCCUUGCCACUUUAGACAAAGGUCUCGAAAGUAAUUCUUAUUCAAUAGCCAUAAUUCUUGCACAAAGUACAAGUAAAAAAAUAAAAAUUAAAAUAAGAUCGUUGAGACAAAAAGAAACAUACCAUCGACAUCUACAAAUGAACAGAGGACAAGUAUACCCUCACGAGAGGUCGGGUAGGAAUCUUUUGGAGAAGUUCAUCUAUCACCAAUAACACCUCCAAGUCCUCCACGAUCAACAACCUCACCCACAUGUUAAAUUGGGUUGGGUUUUUAGUCCAAUGCCAUCAGAAAAAAUGUGAGCGACCCUUCCUCCCAAUAACUAAAUUAAAAAAAAAGCACCCCUAAAGGUUCUUGUAUGUCGAGGUAAAAGCGGUAAGAAGACACGACCUUGAUUGACCGAGUAAAUAUAGCCACACCUCCUAGUCUCCUGGCCUGGUACUAUAGAAUAUAAACAUGAUCGAGGUGUCGACUUGAAAUUUAAGGACAGGAAAAGCAGGCGGAAGGCCUGCAUCACUGCGCAACUAUUCAGAUGCCUCUAUUUGACAAGGCUUCUUCCUAUACCUAUGAAUUCCAUUGGACCCAAAAAUGAUACAUUGGAAGAAUGCAAAACAUCUCCAUGAUAAAGUCGUCAAGGGAAAACCUUUCACCAUUAAACAAGAAUAGAAAAAGAAAAAAAAAAAAUCCUCAAACGAAUCUUCUCGCCCGAGACAAACCAUAUAUGAUGCCCUGCACUUGCAAAGAGACACAAUAUCGUAUGUUGAAUUACUAAGAGUCUAAGUUCAAGACGGAGGGUGAAUUGUACUUAAGUAAAUUUUUAAAAAAGACAAUUUAUACAAUCUUGACAGAAAAACAAUUGAUUGUUUUAUGAAAUAACAGAUUGAAUAUUUCUUAGUAGAGAGAAAAUUCAUAAAAAUAAAUGGUUAUUAUAAAAAACAACUGAUUGAAAUAUUCUCUUAAGAAAUAUUUGAUUAUGAUUUAAGAUAUUCACUCAAGAAGAAAAAUUAACAGAUUAAUUUUGAAAACAACAUAUUAUAUUUCUAACUUUAGUUAGGUAACCAAAACUGUAGAUUAACCUAGCCAAUAGUAUAUUUAAUUCUCAAGUAUCAAACAUAAGUUUUAACAUAUUAGAAUACAAGAUAACCUAUUAAAAUUCCGAUUUAAUAAGGCAAGAAUUGUUUCAAUCCUUGAGAACAUGUUCAGGAAACCAAUUACACAAGCAAAGGUUACAAUAUAGAGACAAAUCAUUUCAGAAACUGGAAAACAAAAACUCUAGAAAAUAUAAUUGAUUGAUUCUUGAAACAACAAAUUAAAUUUUCAUACCAAUUUUCACAGUUAUGCAGAAAAUGAAAGCAGUAAGCAGGAAGGCUUUAAAACACACAAAGAUUUAUACUGAUUCACUUAAAACUGAGUUACAUCUAGUCCCAUCUCACACUAAGAUGUAUUUCACUAAAUAACAAGAAUCUUUUUACAUAAGAUCACUCAAGAACAACUCUUCAACUCCACAAGAACUAAAACACACCCUAUAAAACUCUAUUACAACAAAGCACAUCUUCCAAGAAACACUACCUUAGAAGCAAAAACACAAAAACUAUAAAACAGUAAAGAGUAUGGAAUGAAAACACUUUUUUGCAGAUUUAGAAAACUUAAAAGGGACCUUCAAAUAACAACAUACUUUGAAGAAUUCUUGACCUCAAGAAGUGAAGAAAGUAAAAGCACCAAGAAAAUAACAGGUUAAUAAAGAAAACAUGUUGAUUUUUCUAAAAACACUUAGUUAGUUUCAAACAUAUUUUUUAAUAAAAUGAAUUAGUUGAAACUGAAAGUUUUGGAAAAACUAAUUCAAAACAAUUUUUAGAGAUAAAUUCAUCAAAGAAAUUCAAUUUAUUGUGUCUACAAAUAAUCAAUUGAAAAAUUGUACUUUUCAGAUAAGAAGAAAAUUAACCAAUUGAAAAACUACAUAUUUUUAGAAGACGAAUUUUAACCAGUUGAAAACAUUUUCAAUUGAUUGAAAAACCUUUUAGUUAAUGAAAACAAUUUAACUAAUUGAAAAAAUGUUUUAUGCUUGAACCCUUCAUCAUAUACGUGAGGUAAAAGAUAAAUCAAGACACCCAAAUACUAGACUAAGCUACCUAGACUCUUUAUGAGGCAACAAGUCUUCUCUUUAAGGCUUAUGACUUCAUCCAACAUAUUUAGUUGAGUAGCUUGAAAUAUCCAACAAUCUCCCCCUAUUUCAUGGGGACAAAUAACCCAACAUGCCUUGAAACUUGUCUUAACUCUAUCUUACGAAAACUUAUCAGAGAUAGAAUAUACCUUCUACCUUUACUCCCCUUUGUGUUCAUAAAACAGAAAUAGUGAAAAAGGGUUCCAUCAAACAAUUAUUAAUCAUGAAAGAUUGGCAAUGAUACAACUGAUAACUAUGCUUAAAGGGAUAGAAAAUGUUUAAAGUUCAAAACCAACACCAAAUAUAGUCCAGAAAUAAAAGAUAGGAGAUUUAAAAACAGUGCAGGAAAGAAAUUAGACCGAUUACUAGCUGAAAUACCAAAUUGAAAUAACACAUAUUACUUCUCCCUAUAAUAGAGUUCAACUAGUUGCUAUUGGAUACCUUCAAGUUGAUGAUAAGAUGUUGAAAUCUGGAAGCAUGAGUCUUUCAAAACUUGUCAAAGGUUCUCCUCUUUCCACUAGAGCUUCAUAAGCAAUUAAUGAGUUCAUUUCAUUUGUUUGAGAUUCUUCUACUGCAUUGCUUGAUUUUGGAGGUUCAGAAAUGGAAGCUUCACCAGGUUUGUUGAUCCAUUCAUCAUUAAGCUUUUGGAAACCCAUUUUUAGUAAGUCUGAGCAGAAUUUUACUGUCAGAUUUGAUAGUCUCAUUCAGCUCAUAUUUUAUAUUUAUUUAUUUUAAAAUAAUUAAUAUUAUUUUAACUAGUGAAAUUACAUAGAUAUAGAACAUGUACAUAUAUAUUUACAUUUUUAUUUAAAAUAUACAUAUGCUUUUAUUAUUUUUAUAAAUAAAUUAUUAAUUAAAAAAUAAAAAAUAAUUCAAAAAAUAUAUAAUUUAAUAAUAAUAAUAAUUAUUAUUAUUAUAUAAUAAUGAUUUAAUUAUUUUAAAAUAAAGACGUUGUUUAAUUAUUUAUUUUAUUAAACAAAUAAAUAAUUUAUUUAUUAACUUAUAAAGUUGUCUAAUUAAAAAAUCUUAUCAAUUGGUAUAUUAUUUUUAUAUAAUGAUAUAAAUAUGAGUAAUUAAUUAGAAAAUAAAAAACAAUAUAAUUUAAAAUAUAUAUAAUUUUAUAAAAUAAUAUUAAAGAUUGUAUAAUUGUUAUUUAAAAAUAAAAAUAAAUUGUUCAAUUUUUUAUUUUAUUAAAUAAAUAAGUUAUUUAUUUAUUAAAGAGUAAAAUUGUUUAAUUGGAAAAUAUCUUAUCAAAAUAUGUAUAUAUUAUAUAAUGUUAUAAGUAUUGACUUACCUGUAUUUAAAAGCACAAAUUAUUUUCAUGGGUUAUGAUAUUUUUGACAUUAUCCUCCACUUAUACCCACAACAAAAUAUUAAUAUUUAUAAUAAAAGAAAUUAAAAAAAAUAAAAAAAAUUUAUAAUAAAAUUUUAAGUAAAAUGUAAAAUGUUAAAAUAAUUUUUAAAACUAAAAAUUUAAAAUAUUAAUAUUUAUUGGAGUGUAGAGUGAAACAUUAAUGUAAAAAAAUCAUUUUCCUAUUUUUAUACAUUGGAGUGUAGAGUGAAACAUUGGUGUAAAAAAAUCAUUUUCCUAUUUUUAUACAUUGAAAAUGAAAAUAAAGGAAAAAGAAAAGAAAAACUCAUAGGAUGUACCUAAAACCCUAAAUUCUGUUAUCAUGUUAGGUGAUUGUUUAUUGUUUAUAUAGUUAGAACUAAGGUUUUGGUGAAGAAGAAAGUUGCAAUGGUUGUCACUCCUUCUGCUUUGAUGCUUCAUCUCCAAAAUCCACCAAUUCGCUACCACUUCUUCUCCCACUUCCUCAAACCAACCUUCCCUUCUCUUCUCAAACCUCGUCCCUUCUCUCUAACCACUCCACGCCAAACACAGGCUAGAACCUUUGUAAGUGCUGUUGCAUCAUCUUCAUCACCACAAGGUUCCAAUGGCAGAGACACUUUCUUCGCAGAACAAAACGUUUCCUGGGCUUCACUCGGUCUCUCUGACACCAUUUCUAGAGCGCUCGCUGAUAUUGGCCUCAAUAGACCCUCUCUCGUUCAGGUCCCUUCUCUUCUUUUCCCCUUCCUUUUUAUUGUUUUCGCUUGUUUCCUAGUUGCCCCUUUUGUCAAUGCUCCCUUCGUGGUUUUGUAGGCAAUUCAAUGACCCUAUUUGUUAAAAAAAAAUGAUCUUGUUUACUUGUUUUGUUUGUACUUAGCAUUUGAAAAGAUUAGGGAAACAAAUCCAAAGCAGAAUGAAUUGGGAAGCUAGACCAAGGGGUUGGAAGCGUAGCUGAUAACUUGUUUCUGUUUUCAUUCUUUUAUGUGGACAAAUUUAAAAUGCAAUAAUUUGGGUGUCUUUUUUUUCACUGUCAUCCAACCGGGUUCACAGUAAAAAUGUUGGCUUAGGUUCUGAUUGGAGAAGAACACUAAAAACACAAUUCUAUGUUUGUCCUUUUUAUUAUUUAUUGGGAUGCUGGGGCUUAUGAUGUUUACAUCAUUGAAUUGUGUUCAGGCUUCUUCAGUACCGUCUGUGCUGUCAGGGAAGGAUGUUGUUAUUGCCGCGGAGACUGGGAGUGGUAAGACAUACAGUUACCUAGUUCCUCUAAUUGAUAAGCUAAGGGAUGCCCAGGAACAUUCUCUACAUGCUGUGUCUGAUCAAGAAGUGACAUCGAAACAGAAAGUUCUGCUCAUCCUUUGUCCGAAUGUGCAACUUUGUGAGCAGGUAGUGAAGAUGGCUAACUGUCUACGUAGGGAUGAUGGUGAAGCGAUAGUCAGUGUGGCUGCUCUUUGUGGAAGACAGGUAGUGAUUGUAUAAUGUUUAUGGUUAUAUGAAAUUUAUAGUAUUCUCUUCUUGAAUUUUCAAUACUAAUAAUCAUUUUGACCAGGGAUGGCCAAUUCGGAAACCUGAUGUCAUUGUGACGACACCUGCUGCCCUUCUGAAUUAUGUUGACAUUGAUAGAACCCGCCGCAUGGAAUUUAUGCGUGGUGUUAAGUGUGUGGUAUGUUUCAGAUCUUGUGUAGCUGUGUUAGUGUAAAAGAUAUAUGAUUUAUACUAUGACUCUUGUUAUGUGUAUGGUUAUUACUUAUAUUGCUAACUGUCAGGUGUUUGACGAAGCUGAUAUGCUUCUAUGUGGGAGCUUCCAGAAUAAAGUAAUCCGCCUGAUAAACUUGCUCCGCUUUGACGAAAAAGUCUUGUCUCGGUCAAAAAAAUCAGUAGCUGAGUUAUCAAUGCAAAAGGAAUCUUCCUUGUCAUCAGAAGAUGCGUUUGAAGGUGAAGAGGAACUUCAAACUGAAGCCACCUUAGAAGAGGAUGACACUGAUAAAGAGGAAGAUAUUGUUGAUAUUAAUAAUGAAUGCACAUCUGUUAAACAAAGAGACUGGAGGAGAGUGAGAAAAACUUAUGAGCGUAGUAAACAGUAUGUUUUUGUUGCUGCUACACUUCCAGUGAAUGGAAAGAAGACAGCUGGAGGGGUAUUGAAAUAUAUGUUUCCUCAUGCUGAGUGGGUUUGUGGAAACUAUCUUCAUUGUCACAAUCCCAGGUUCAUUUUUUUUUGUCUUAUUAUCAAUAAUGACAUCUCAUUUUUUUUCGCAUUGUUACUCAGAUGGUCCUGGUGAAGCAAUGGCAUGCAUUUUUCAAGAAUUAGAAUAGGAAAAUGGUUAAAUGUCUUAUGAUUCCAUUGAUUGUGAACUGGAAAUGAGAUAAAAGGAAUGUAUGCGGAGAAAAGUAUAGUUAAACACAACUAUAAUCAGAAAUGGUAGGACUAUUUUAAUAAAUCUAGUUUACUGUCCAUUGGAAUAUUGGGAUGAAUGCCUUAGAAGUAUGAUCAUUGGUGUACCUUCACACAUUGUACAGGCUUACUUCAAUUGAAUAUCAGUAGUCAGUGAAGAGUUAUUUCAGACAUUUUAGCUUGUGUGAACAUGCAAAACAAAUGUUUGUAUUGUUUCAUAGCAAGAGCCUUUUGCGCUUGAAUCAUGAAUGAGGCACAUUACCACUUUACUCUUGGGUAAAAGUCUAUUUUUGUUAUGAAUAAAAAAUUAAUAACUCAGUCGUGGAUGCAACUGAUACCAUACCAAAUACUAAUUCUUCAAAUGUUUAAGUUGGUACACUGAAUCCAAUAAGUGGUUUUAUAUUUCUAUCGAGUAUUAGUGUCUGACAGGAAGAUUGAAGUUACUCCACAUAAGUGACUGGGAAAAAUUUAGUUGUAAAAGGGUUACAGGAAAAUGUUGUACUAGCCAGGCCCUUGGACUAAAAAGGUUGGAGAAAAUUUUCCAGUUCUGGUUAGACUUGGGUGAAAACAAACUGUGCAACUUAGGUUCUUAUCCCUGCUAACCUUUUUGUCAAUUUCUAAAUUCUCUGUUUGGAUUAGAUUAGAUUCUUAUCUAUUAUACAGAAUUGAAAGGCUUCUGAUUAGCAUUUGAGAGAUUAUGAAAUCAUUCGUUUACCCUCCUCGGUAGGGCAUAAUACAUGGCUUCUCAAACUCAAGUGUUUUUGCCAUUCUUUGUUGAAAAACAUCUGAACUAAAUGCUCUGCAUCUUUUGAUCUCGUGUUAUUUUGAGAUCCAACUAAUCCUUUGGCCAUGUUUUUCUUUUUUAAAUUUAAUGUUAUUGUUUUCAUUUUCAGAUUGGAGCAAAAAUGGAUAGAAGUUACCAUUGAUACUCAAUUGGAUGAACUCAUAAAGGCUGUGAAUCACAGUUUCAGAUCUGAAGAUUUGGUUAAUGCUGGUGGCAUUCACAGAACAAUGGUGUUUGCCAACACUGUUGAGGCUGUUGAAGCUGUGGCAAAGAUAUUACUCCGAUCUGGAAUUGAAUGUUCACGCUAUCAUAAGAAUUGCACAUUGGAAGAGCGAGCACAGACCUUAGUUGAUUUUCACGAUAAAGGUGGUGUUCUUGUAUGUACUGAUGCUGCUGCUCGUGGUGUUGAUAUUCCAAAUGUUUUACAUGUUAUUCAGGUAUAGUUUUCCUUUUACUCACGUAUAGUAGUUUCAUGGUUCGGUUAUUUUAUUUUGUGAUAACAAAAAUUAUUUAUCCUAGGUUUCAAAACAAACAAAAGAAAAGAAGAUUUCAUUAGAUAUUAAUUACAUGUUGAUCAAAUGAAGGUGUUACUACAAUACAUGUUGGAAAUUUGAAAGAAAAUGCAUUUAAAACAUUAGAAUUCCAAAGUCUUUAAUCCAAUUAAUACUACACCAUCUCCUCAGGUGGUAGUUUGUUUUGAAGAUAUAUCAUCUGUCAUGUUAAGAAUGACUUGCAAGUUGCUAGGUAUGGGUCUUGAUUCUCACAUUGGAAGUAUGGGAUUCAAGCGUGGGGUUUCACUUUGUGUGAUAUGGUUGGUAUCAAAGUUAUGCACCAUGUCUCAGCUGCAAAAUGUACAACAUGGGGAUGCCAGCAUUGCAGUGUUUGCUGGAAAUAGUCAAAAGGUUAGCACACAGUCAGCCCAUGAGGGCUCUGGGGCUGAGUUCUGGUGGGAUGUUAGGAUCCAAUUGUAAGAUGUGGAAGGUCCCACAUUGGAAAUGUGGGAUUCUAGUUUGGGGUUUAUAAGACAUUGGGCUCUCCAACUGCUAUGGCUAGCUUGGUGGUGUGGUUCACCUAAGGUUCUUAUCAAGGUGGUUUAUUAAAUGACACUAAUGAAUGUCUCUAUUUUUGAGAAUUAAAAUUGUUAGAAAGCAUCUCCUGUUUAAGGAAAUAUUUCAUAUUUAGAGCUUUAUUUUUAUGCUAAUUCACAAUACCUUUGGAAUAUGAUUUGGUUUGAUAAUGAUUUGAAUGUUAGUUGAUAAGGUUUUCCUUGUUUCAUAUAAUUAGACAACGUAACCAGUAUCAUCUGUAUUUGAAUUCAUCUGCAGAGGAUCCUUAAUUCCUCGAGUAAUUCAUGUAAUCUGUCUCAACUAAAUUAUGCAUGGGCAUAAACAGCCUAUUCAAGUUAACCUCCAGUAUCUUCUGAUUUGUGAGACUAGAAUAUACUGGAAAUUGUAAUUCUACUAGUAAUUUAAUGGUUUAGUUGAUUGUCAUUGUCCGAUAUUGAUUAAUUACUUUGAGAAGAAAGAAACAUAUUGUGAUAAAAUCGAUUGGAGCAUGAUGACAGAGUGAGAAGGUAUAAAGAUGACAUUCUAAAGGCAGUAACAGAGUUAAUGGAUCUAUUCUAUGCUUUAAAAGUCAAACUCCUUUAGGAAGCAAAAAAGUGUUGGCCACAUCAAAUAAGAUAACUUGUUGGGAAAUUUCUGAGUUUUGACUUUUGGUUAGGAACGAAUGCAGUCUGGUGAGUGGUAUUUUUAUACCACUUAAUGUCCUUUUAAAUUCUUACAUUACAUUACCGUGCACGUAUCUGUCGCCUUUAUUUCCAUCUCAUGAACUCUGAUUCUGCUAUUAUGACAUUGCUUUUUUACUGUAUUGCUGUUUUUAUUAUGUUUUAUUAUUAUAUAUAGAUGUUCAUUUGCAAUGUGGUUCAUGCAUUUCAGGCAGAUUUUGCUACUUCUGCUGUAGAUUUUUUGCAUAGAGUUGGUCGUACAGCUAGAGCUGGUCAGAUUGGACUUGUUACUAGCAUGUACACCGAAUCCAACAGGGAACUUGUUGAUGCAGUUCGUUCGGCAGAGAAACGUGGUCAACCUGUGGUAAAUUUUUAAACAUUAUUUAAUAUUCAUUGGCCUUACACAUGGAAUGUAAAACGUACCAAUUGAGAUAGUUUCAAGAAAAAUACUUUUGUGAUUGUAAAAUUGAGUCUUGAGGUUUACAGUUGAUGCUGGUAUUAUAUGAGGAUGGAGUUAACUAAGGACUUCAAUAUUUUCACACAUCAAUACUUGUUAGUAAUAAUUGCCAAUUUACCACAGGAAACUGCAUUUAGCAGGAAAAGAAGCUUCCGCAACAAGAUCAAGAAGAGGGGUAAACUUUCAAGACUUAGUCCUACAAAGUUUUAAAACAAACAUUCUAUAUGAAUUUGUAUACCCUGAAUACUGAUGAUCAGCGAAGAUGUUUAAGUUUGAGUAACAGAAAAUGCGUUUGAAUCUUGUCCCAAUUGUCAUCUUGUACUUGUAACAGGUACUAACAAAGUCAGAGAUUCAGCAACUAUUAAAGAGAGUGCACUAGCAUGAGAAUACCAGAUGGCACUAAGUAUGUAAAGCAGCAUGCUCGAAUGACAAGGUGAAGAACAUUAUGAGCCAUUGCAUUUAAAAGGUAUUAGCUGUUACACACACAUGGCUCAUAGUAUACGACACUCAUUUAAGGGAUCCUGCCAUUUCUUGAGGAUCAUGUAAUUUCCGUGAAGCCGUCUUUCACAUCAGAAUUAAAAUUAAUGCAGACAACUAUUUUUGUAAUCCCUUUUGUGGGGUUUAAUGAGUAGUGUCUUAUCCAAACUUAGUUUCUGAAAUGGUCCCAUAAUCUUUUACAGUAUCGUGAGUAUGGAAAAUAUCCAAUAUGUGUCUGCAUGUGUCCAAGUUCCUAGCAAAGUUCAUGAUUGUGGGAAAGGUUUACAGGGGCAGUUAGUUUAGCUUGGUUCUUAUAAUAUUUUUUCCAUGUAAAUUAUGAGCGAUUGUGUUUCUCUCCUUAUUUUGUCCUCAGCACUUGUAGCUGUAGCUUAAGAUUCUAAGCAGCAAGACCUGUCAAAUACCACUUAACAUCCACAUAUUUGUUUAUAACCAAAUGAUGCAAUCCUACUUUGUAGCCUUGCUUGAUUUUGUGUUUCCAUUGUGUUGCGGAUUGUUGGAGCUGAUUUGAAAGAUGAAGAGGUGCCUAGGCUAUUUACAAGAAUAUAUGCUAAGAGUGAACUUUAUUAUUGAUGGGUACUUUUUAAUAGACUUGACUAAUUUUUGUGUGGGACAAUUGAAAUGAUCACAUCUUCUAUGUUUUCGAAAGUUUGAAGUUUGGAUGUUUUAAAUUGAAGUUUGAGUGGAAAUAUAAUAAUUUUUUUUAGAAGUUAUAGCCAUGUAUAUUUUUUAAAUGUAAGAUGAAGUUAAAAGAAGUAAUGGGUUUUUUAAACGGUAAGUACUAAAUAUCUAUCUCAUUUUGGGAUAGAUUAAGGUAAAGUAAAAAUAAAAGAACUAAGUCUUUAAGUGAAAUAAUAUGUCCACUUCAUUUUGUAAUGGAUUGGGUGGAAAGAAAAGAUCAACACUAAUUUGUAAUAUUUUUACAAAAAAAUAAUAUCACUAGGAUUUGCAAAAUGCAUCUACGAAAGUUUAGGGAUUUGGUGUAGUUUUUUUUUUAAUUAUAAAAAUAGAUAAAUUUAAAAAGAAAUAGCCUAAUGGAUAAAUCGUGUUUUGAAUGGAAACUUAGUGUAAACAUUAUUUGGAUUUGAGUGAUUAUUCACCCGGAUUAAAAAGAAAAUACUAUUUUUUGUUUGGAUUAGGGGGUUUGCAUAGAUUAGAUGACGUGUAAAGACAGGGAAAGUGAGAAUUGGUUCUUUGGUGCUUUAAGAAGAUUUGUAGAGAAAGUUAAGCCAUUUACUAUGUUACCCUUUUGCCAACUAUCAUAAUUCACAUGUCAUAAUAGUGAAGAUUCCUAUGCACAAUAGAGAUUUGACCAUGACUGAGAUUCUUGAGUGCUUUGACCAAGGCAUCUGGAAUUGUGGUGGAUGAUGAGUUAGAGUGAUAAAUACUAGAAGGGGAGUGAGGGGAGGUGAGUUGUGUGCUUUGAGUUGAGGAGGGAGCAAAGUGUGAAUGUUGUGAGGAGUUUGUUCGUAGAGAUUGUUGGAGGUGUGUGGUGUGGUUCAGUGUGAUGCACAGUGUGAGAUCCAUGAUCUAUUUAGUGGACUAUGUGGUUUCACUUCAAACCUAAAAAAUUUUCAAGGCUGAGGAUGAAGUGUGGGAUGUGUUGAUAAAGGUAACAUAUUCAACCUGAUCUUCACUUAUCAUAUACAUUAACCAGUAAUUAAGAAUAUGAAUGUAUUUAUUUUCAUUAAUGAAUAGGCAAAGCCCUCAGCCGCAAAGUGACACGUUUAUCCCAUCAGACACUACAACUUGAUGGAAGACUUAUAGGGGCUUGAUCGUGCUACCGACCACGGUGGGAGAACAACACUAUAUUAGGUUUUAUCAUGGAUCGCGGGAAGGGUAUUACUCCAGAAUCAUCUGUAGGUAUUCGUGAAAACAAAAAAUGGACUAUUGACAUAGAUUUUCGAUUGUUGAAUGCCAUGAUCGAUGAGGCAUCUAUGGGUAACCACAUUGACGGUAGUUGGACGACGCAGGGUUACAUAAACAUCGUUAAAUCUCUACAUUAGAAUGGAUUGGUAGGGAUUACAAAUAAUAAUGUAAAGAACAAGCAGAAAAGCCUUAAGGACAGUGUGAGAUCCAGGAUCUGCUUAGUGGACUGAGUGGUUUCACUUGGAAUCAAACCUCGAAAACUUUCAAGGUUGAGGAUGAAGGGUGAGAUGUGUUGAUAAAGGUAACAUAUUCAACAUGAUGUUCACUUAUCGUAUACAUUAACCAGUAAUUAAGAAUAUGAAUGUAUUUAUUUUCAUUAAUGAAUAGACAAAGCCCUCAGCCGCAAAGUGGCACGUUUAUCCCAUCAGGCACUACAACUUGAUGGAAGACUUAUAGGGGCUUGAUCGUGCUACCGACCAUGGUGGGAGAACAACACUAUAGUCAUCAAGUCGAACUUAGUCUCAUCAUUUUAAUGUAGAUCUUAACGAUCACAAUAUGGAGUACAUCCCAAAAGUUAAUGCGACCCAAUGUGAAAUUCCUCGCUCAGCUGACCCUAAUGUUGAUUCAUACAGCCCUGGGCCUAAUCUGACGCCCCAUCAGUGCCACCUUAGCCAUCCCAACCAUCAGGUGGUAAAUUUGAUAUCUGGGAAAUGUUAGUGGAGAUGAACAUGCAUGAUGAAGAUAUGUUGGAUAACUAUUAUGACGUCCUAUAUGGUCAUCCUAAUGCGAUGAAACAACUCUUUGGCCUGCCUCUCGAGCGACGAAUGAGAAAGCUUGUGAAGAUAAUGCUACAAAUCCCUAAACUAUGUAAAAAUUUGGUUGUAUUUUAUUAUGCAUAUGUGUUUUUCUUUUCGGAUCUGUAAUCUUAUUUAUGACACGAUUUCUGUAAACAUUUUUAUUUAAAUAUGCUUUAAUUCAAGUUUGUUUCAACCAAUAUAAGUAUUUAAUUGCAUGUUAUUUUUUAAAUCUAUUUUAUGUUAUAUGCUUGUUUUGGUUGUUAUCAUAAAAUUUUAUGCAAAUCUUCACUAAUUGCAAUUAUGAAUAUUAUCUAAGUUUUGUAGAUACGACAUCUUCAUCUAUGAAGAGACAACGCAGUCAUCGAAAGGGUAAAGGAAAAACCUAUGCUGAUGAUUAAGUUCCUGAUGCACCUACUCUCGGUAUUGAGGACGUCCUUAAUCAUUCUAAACAUUUUUCUAACUGAGACCAGAUGCUGGAGUUUCGGACGAGCUUUGUUCACAGAUCAAUCGUGCCCCCCUAAGGUCGUGCAUUUUGGGUUCUUUGAAGAAACAGGGUUUGAGUUCCAAAAUCAUUUGGAACGUUAAGAACUGAAACAAUUUUCAAUGCUGAGAUAUUCAUGCUUUGAUGUUAUGAUCAAAGUUUUUUAUGCAAAUCUUAGGAUUACAGAUGAUGGUUAUCCUUUGUUCGGAGGUUAACCGUAAAAUAAUUAUUAUACAACCUCCUGAUUGAUUGUUGUUGGUUAAAUUGAAUGAUGCAAUCCCUCUUGAGCACCUAAACUACAACCAUGACACGACAUUAACAGACAUGUUGAGGUCAAGGAUGGAGGCUCAUAAUCUUAUAAAUGUUGGUGUUCUCUCCGUGAAUGACAUACUAUUUCACUACACAUUUGUUCACAUUUUAUGUCCUCGACACUAAUUAUUCUCAGUUGCAAGACAAAGAUAUUUUCAUGCUAUGGGCAAUAAAAAAUAAUAUCUCGAUUAACUAGCCACAUUACAUAAUGCACUACAUGGUCAAAUGUAUGGACAACAACAUGCCUCUGCCAUAUGCCAUGCUGGUCUCAUGGUUUAUGACAACAUGUGAAAUCAAUUUAUUCUUGGAAUCAUGUAUGAAUCUUGGAUGGUGCCGCUUUUUUGAAAAAAAAAAAAAUCAAUGAAAAAGUUAAAUAUCCAUUAGGUACAUGGUGUGUGGCAGCAUGGAAGGAAUGACUAGGAGGAUGACGAAGAUGAUAAAGAUGAUGUCAACCCAACCAUUCUUGAGGAACAUGAUGAUGGCAGUGUGCCUCAGGUCCCUAUGCAGAAUCAGUCUACAAUGCCACCAUAAUAUUUGAGUGGAUUCCAAGCGUUGUAGGAAUCUAUUCGGGCUGUGAACCUCAACAUGAACAGACGUUUCGACAACAUUGACACACAUUUCGAUAGGAUUUAUGACCGCAUUGACAAGAUGGAAAAACAAAUUAACGACUUUCAUGACUCUUUUGAACGAUACAUAUUUCAAUGUAUCAUUUAUAUGAUUUUCUAGAAUAUUAUUAUUAUUAUUUAUUUCAUGUUUCUUUUAUAUAUACAUUUGUAGUGUACAUUUAAUAUUUGUUAGGCACGAACUUUAUCCUAAAUUUUGCUUUAAUAAAUUAUAAUAUACUGCAUUAAUAUUUAUUUCAUAAAUAUUUUUUCUUUAUCAAAUUAUAGAUCUAACACAACAUCGUAAAUAAUAUGCUCCAACACAGUAUAAAAAAUAAUCUUUUAAUUGCUUACACCUAUAUUUCACAAAUAAAUAAUUUAUGAUUACAAUUGUUUUCUAAAUAAAGUUUAUCACAAUCAUAAACAUGGUCAGAAAAUUUUACAUCGUUUAUAUUUUUUCCAAAGUUAGCUUUAACACAGUACUGGAAAUAAUAUUUCAAUUACCAAAAAUAAUAUUUUAAUUUAAAAUAAUUAUAAUUCACAAAUAAUCAAUCAAAUUAAUUUUUCAACAAUUUUUAAAUACAAGGACAAAUGUGUAAACAUUCAUUUUUAUCAAUUAAAAAAUAUAAUUUCAAUUACACCCAUCACAUUUCUCACAAACUUUCUUAAAUUUUUUCUACACUUUCCACUUUAUUUAUCUUAAUCCAAACACUCUAAUUUUUUGGACACUUUUCCUUUAAAUCAUCUCAAAUCAACUCCCUCAAUUUCACUCCCUAAUCCAAACAAAACAAACAAAACAUUAAAGAAAUCAUAGUUGAAAUUUUUCUAUAAGAGAAAUCAGUAGUGAUUUUAUAAAACAUGAUUGCAAAAUAAUUUUUUAUUGCGAAACUGAAAAUCGUGAUUUUUGUAACAUUAGUCUUAUUUUAUGAAGGAAACUAAUUAUAUUUUGUAAAAUACUGCUUCAAAUUGAAUUCUUUUAGUUACAAAACUGAAUAUCGUACUUCGAAUGAUAACUUGAAUUUUUAAUAAAAAAAUCGAAAUUGUUUUAUAGAACACUUGUAUAGUUCCUUUGUUAACUUGUAUACAAAAUGAUAAAAAGUUCUUCACAUUCGCUCAAUCAUCAUUUUUUAUACUAAAUUCUAAGGGUGCAUAAUAAUCUAUAAUAUUUUCACAAAACUAAGGAGAAGAUAUUAAAAAAAAGGUGAAAAAAGCGUUUUUUUAAAUUGGUAAUUUUUAGUGUGUUUAGACAGAAAUUAAUGCAUAAAAAACGACUCCACUGGGGAUCGAACCCAGAAUCUCUGGUUCCGUAGACCAGCGCCUUAUCCAUUGGGCCAUGGAGUCUUAUUUGAUUUUGUUUCUUAAUUUAUUAAUAUUAUUCUAUUAUUUAUAUUUCUAAACAGUUAUUUUUUGAAGAAAGAGUGGCUUGAAAUAUAUUGUUAGCAUUUUUCUUAGCAAUAAAAGUGUUGGGCAAUGGAUAUUCAUGAAUAUGUUGUAAUUUUUCUUAAUACUUGGAAGUUAUAAAUUACUUUGAUUAGCUUAUAAUUUCAUGCAAUCAAAAUUAUUUUGUUUCAUAAAUAAGCUUAUUUUUAUGAUUUUUUUUAAUUUAUUUUCAUAACAAUUUCAAGUAGUUUAUAGCUUUUUUAUUUUUCACUUCUAUCUCGGAAAAUUUACUUUAUUUUUUUAUUUUUCAAUUUUAAUUUUUCCUACUACUUUACAUUUAUCAAUUAACUUAAGAUUCUUAACUUUAUUUUCAACUAACCUAUAAAUUAGUUUUUAUCAAAGACGCUUUGUGAAGAGACUCACUUUUUCUCUUCCUCCUUCUCAAUUCCUUUUCAUUUUUAACAUUAAUUCACAUGGGUUGAUAAAUAUUUAAUAAAUGUAAAUCUGGAUUAUUUAUUUUAUUUAUUAACAUCAGUCCUAAUAAUUAGAAAUAAUAAAUUAAUGCACCAAAUGUUUACCUAUCCAAAUUAAUCCAAUAAUAGUUGUGAACUACUAAACUUAAUUUUAUUUGUCAUCAACUUUUGUUAUUUUGUAUUUUUUUUUGUAGUUUUGAUGUAAUUAAUUUGGAUCCAACGACCUUAUUUAAAAUGUAAUUAGUUCUGAUGUACCCCACAUAUUUAAUAAAAAAAGUCAUUACUUUAAAAAAAAUAAAAGAUAUUUCAAAUAGAGAAAUAAUUGUUCACAGGAAUAUAAUAAAAAUAAGAUCACAUUUCUUAAGAAAGAAAUUAUUACUCAUGCAUGAUGUCCUUGGAAAUAGAGUUCUGAAGCUGUAUAGGGUUCAUUAAAUCAAUAAGUAUUAAAUGCUAUUUUCAGAAUCAAAUAUAGUCAACUAUGAAUAAAUACUUCACCCGUUCAAUUUUUUUUAAUGUCUUUUAAAUUUUUGUACUAAAAUAUGAAAAGUACUCUAUAUAUUUUAGCAUGUUAUUUUCUAACAUGUGGCUUUAAGAUUUGACUAAACAAAAUAAUAAAAGCAAUAAUUUUUAUAAUUUUUAGUAAUAUUUUAUAAUAUUUUUAUCAUUUUGAUAUUCUUUGUAUAUAUAGCAAAUUACUCCCUAUAAUGUAUUUUCUUAUUUUACACUAAAAAAAUCAUUAAAUAGAAACUAAUUUAUCUUCAUAUAAUAUAUUUUUUUAUUUUACACUAAAAAAAAUCAUUAAAUAGAAACUAAUUUUAGAGAUAAAAAAUAAUUAAUUGUUAUAGUGAUUAAAUUAGAAACCAUUUUUGUGAUGCCUAACAUGAAAUUUUUUAUAAAAAAAAUCAGAAAUCAUUUUAAAGACUACAAAAAUUAUUAGUUUUUAAAUUAGUUUCUAUUAUUGAUAAAUAAUUUUUAAAUUGGUAUCUAAUUGACUAUCAAGUUUUUUACUAUCAAAUUUAGAAUAUAAAUAAUUGGUAGUUAAAACUUUGGUAGCUAAUUAGAUACCAAUUUCGAAACUAUUUAUCAAUAAUAGAAACUAAUUUAGAAACCAAUAAUUUUUCUAUUAUUUAAAAUAGUCUCUAAUUUAAUCAAUAUAGAAACUAAUUAUUUUUGUCUCUUGGUUUCUAUUUCAUCAUUUUUUUAGUAUUAUAAUAAUAUAUAUAUAUAUAUAUAUAUAUUUAUAAUAUAUUCAUCUUUCCUUUCUAUAAUAAAAUAUUAAUUUUUCUUCCUUCCAAUAAAUAACAUCCUAUGAAAUAGAGUAUCUAAAAUAUUAUUUUUAUUUUAAUGAAAAUAAUUAUUUUUAUUUUUUUAAACUUUUAAAAAUAAAAGUAUAACUAGUAAAUUACCACUAAUAUACUAUAGAACUUUACAAACCACCAAUAAAAGGAAAUAAAAUUUGAAUAAAAAAACUGAUAAUUAAAAAGAUAGAGAGAAUAUAUCUUUUUAUGUUAUAGUUUCAUUUAAAUUUAUUUGAUAUAAUUCAUGGGUUUAAUUUUAUUUGAUCUUUCUCUUUUAAGUUUUCCUUUAUCAUUUUAGAAAACCUUUAUGUAUGUGUUUUCUAGUCAUCUAGUCUUCCAUUCUUUUACCAAAUUCAACUCCAUUUCUUAUUUUUUUAAGAUUAAGAUUAGAUUGUACCUUGUGGAAGAUAGUGUGAUAGAGAGCACAUCCACUCAAUUAGAUUUUGAAACAGAAUAAAUUCAUUUUUCUAUAUAUUAUUCUUGUGAUUAUCAUAUAUUUUUCUUAUUUGUGUACUUGAUUCUUCUCAUGACUAACUUGUAGAUUGUUUAUAAUUUCUAUUUUGGUUGUUUAGGAUUUAAAAACUUGUUGGUUCCUAGGUUCUUGGACACUUAGUUUUUUAUCCUUUCCUAGAUUUCGAGUCAAUUCCAUAUAAAUAGAGUUAAUUUACUUAGUUUUUAUUUUAAUUGAUUUGUAAUGUUGGUGUAAAGAUUAGUUUAUAUUAAUAGUAAAUUGAGAAUGAAUCAUUUUGUGAACAUGAUUCUUAAAUUUGGAAAAUUAAAUGUUGGAUGACAAUUUUGGUAGUAAAAUGCUUUGGUUUUAAUUUGGAGCCAAAUGAUAACAUCACUACAAGAAAAUCAUGAAAUAGAAACCAAUUUUUAGAGAUUAAAAUAAUUAAUUACAAUAGUAACUAAAUUAGAGAUUAUUUUAGAAAUUAAAAAACAAAUUGGUUUCUAAAUUAGUUUUUAUUAUGGUUAAAUAGUUUCUAAAUUGAUAUCUAAUUAGCAACCAAUGUUUUAACUACCAAUUAUUUAGUUUUUAAAUUUGGUCUCUAAAAUCUUGAUUGCUAAUUAGAUACUAAUUUAGAAACUAUUUAACAAUAAUAUAAACUAAUUUAGAAACCAUUUUUUUUAUUUUUUAAAAUGAUUUCUAAUUUAGUUAUUAUGCAACUAAUUAUUUUGAUAUCUAAAAAUUGAUUUUUAUUUUGGUAUCUAAAAAUUGGUUUUUAUUUCAUGAUGCGUUUCUAUUUCAUGAUGCGUGUAGAGUUAGAAAUGUUAUGAAAGUUACCAGUUGAAAAUAGAUAACUCUUUUUGCUGUUGACUUUUUACUUGAGUUUAAUUGUUAUGCUCAAUUUGAAUAAUAGUAGUUAAUUUUUAAAAUUAUGCCAAUACAUGUUAAUUAUCUUAUAGAUUAAGGUGCUUAUUUGAUGAAUUUUAGAAAAUUGGAAUUCUACAAAACUUAGAACUUAGAAUUUUUCUGCAUAAUCUGCCCAAUAGAUUCCCCAACUACCCAACAUAUUUGAAGUAGAGAGGGAGUUACUUUUACUGUGAAAAGUAGAAAAACAUGAUCCAUAAACAUAUAUAGAAGAUCUCUGGUCACAGUAAUCUACUCCACAACAACUGAUACUUUCAGAUAAUUAAGGCACAGCAGAUACAAAAACUGAUGAUUAAACAAAGUAUGAAAUACAUAAUACAUAAUACAUAGUGCAUUAUGAAGUGAAAAGAAGAGAAAGAAAAUGGAAUUGGAUCUAAGUUUAGAGAAGUGUUCUAGGGGCACUUAGGUUUGUUGCCAUGAGUGGUCAUGUCUGUGUAACACUUCCCACACACCUCUCUGUUACCAUAAGGACCUGGAGGAACACACUUGCACCUUGAACAGCAUGUCCCGCAAGCUCUUGUGCAGAUCUUUGGCCUUGACUCUAAACUGCAUCUCACCUUGCACCUCUCUCCACAAUCUUCCAAACACACAACAACAAAAAUGUUCAUUCUUUCUUCUUUUCUUUUUUCACAAUUUCACUAUAGUAACCCUUUUUCCAAGAGAUCAAAAAACACAAGUGAGAAAAGUAAAUAAAGAAUCAUACCCACAAAUGACAAAAGCUUUCUGAUGGGUCCUUUCACCAGCUGCAAAAAAAGAAGCCAAGGCAGUGAAAACAGUAAUAACAAGCAAAUAAACAAAGUAUAAAGGUGGCUAAACGACAUGCAAUGCAACCUCAGAAUGGGUGAGAUGGCCUUCUAUGUUGACACUAGAAGCAGCAUAAGUCACCUGCAAAUCAAGCUCAAAGCCUAAAAAAUUAAGGCAAAAGUUUUGUAAUGGAAAAAUUCUGAUAUAUGUGUAUGUUUAGGAGUAUGUUGCACUUACAUUUGGCAUGCAGAAGAAUAGUGCAGAAGCCAUGAGCAGCAGCAGCAACAGUAAAGUCUUGAGUUUGUUCUCCAUUUUGGAAGUAUGAAGUUGGUAGGAGAAGGAGCUUGAAAUGUUGAGUAGCAUUUCUGAGGGCAGAGGCAUGUUUUUAUAGUAGUGUUAUGGAUUCUCCCUCCUUUUGCAAUUACAGUGACACCCUUUCUUUUGUUAUUAAUGUCAAUUACUUUUGGCAGUGUGCAUCGAAAAUCAAAGUUGGUGGAAUUCAAUUCAUUCACAUUCAUCACCUUCAUAUUUUUAAAAACCAUUUUUCUUCUUCUGUUUUUAUUACAGAGUUGCUUAUAUUUUUUUUUAUGAUUAACACACCUUAAUCAUACCAAUGAAAUGAAAAAUAAUCUCAUCUAUUUUUUAAAAUAUUCUUCUUUUAAUUUAUUUGAAGUUAACUAUUUGUUACCUUUUUUUAAAAAAAUGAAUAUUUUUAUUUUUAAUAUUUUCAUGACAUGAAAUAAGAAUGUGUUAGCGUAAUUUAAUAAAAUAUAAUUUGAUUUAUGUAAAAUUAUACACAUAUAUAUAGUAAUGUUUCUACAAAAUUUUAUACUACAACAAUUAUUUUAAAAAUAUAAUUGAAAUACAAUGAUAAGGAAACUUUUUUUUUUAUAUUAUCAUAUAAUGAUACUCUAGAAUUAAUUUUUCCAAUACACCUAGACAUGAAAAAUUGGAGGGGUUGAGUUUGACUUUUCCAUCCUCAACCUCAUAAAAUGAGACAAAUUCAGGUUUAAAAGAUGGAUUUGAAAAACCUAAAGAAAUUCAUCUAGUUUUUAAAAAUUUAAUUGACUUAUACACUUUAAAUAAAUAGUAUAUUAAAUUGUUAAUUCAUGAUAACUUUACUUGAACAUGAGCAGCAUAUUUAUUGUAUAAAUUAGUCCAUGAAUAAAUUCUGAUGGCAUCUUUUGUGGGGUAGUGAAAGACAGAUGGCCUUUAAAAAGGAAGGAGCAUGCAUGCAUUUGAAGGAGAGAAAGACAAAUGUACAAAACUUCAAAUUAAUGGCUGCCCUAAUGGCCAAGAAUCUAUUUUAGAGAGUGUCAGCAAGUGGCCCAUUUCCUCAUUCACUAUGGCUAGGUGGCUAACUAUGCCCUUAAUUUGUGGGGUGCCACAUUAAACCUUUUCAAACUUCAAGAAAUAGGUCAAAUCAAAUUAUUUGAGAGUGAUAACAAUUAAAAAAGUGGGAUAAAUGAAUCUUUUAGUUCUUGUGAAAAUGAGUGAUAAUUUAACUUUUGAAACCAUGGGAUAGAUAUAUUUGAUCUUAGAAUCUACAUAUGUAAGAAGUGCCACAGCUGUGUUUUGUCGUUGAUUUUUUGAAGUUUUUUUUUGUGUGUGUGUGUGUGUUUAGACUUUAAUGUUUGAAGAUCAAUUAGAACUAAAUUUUGUAAUUUGAAAAUCAAUUUUCGUAUUUUGAUGUAAAGUUUUGGAAUCAAUCUGUCAACGGUGAGUUAAUUCUGACAUUUUUUUUUCUAUUAUAUAUUAAAUUAGAAUUUCUUUUAUCUUUCAUGAAUUAAAUAGUCAUUUUGAUUUAUAUAUUGAGGGAUAAAAAAUACUUAUUUACUAAAAGAAAUAUUGUUAGUCAUACUAAGUAUAUUAUAAUAUUUAUUAAAUUACAUUUUAAGUCUUUUAUAAUUAAUUUAGACAUUUUUUAGUUAAGUUUUUAUUAUUUUUUUUAGUUUAUUGAAUAUUUAAAAUUUAUAUAUUUUUAAUUGAGUUUUUAUUGUUUAAUAUUUUUAUUAGUUAGUUGACGUGUUUGUCAUAUUAUUAUCUCCUUUAUGGUUACUAUAAGACAAUAUUACGGUUACUAUAAGACAAUAUUACGGUUAAUCUAAAAUGACAAUAGUUUUUAUUGUUUUAGGUUGAAAGAUAAUAAGAGAUUGUUGUAGUCACCUACAUUAAUAAUGGUGACAAUGAUAAUUCCUUGAUCACGGUAAGAGACGAUAUAAGAGAACACGAAAAUCUUAUUAUCCAAUAUAUUUUUAAUUAAAAUAAUAAAAGUUAUUUACUGUUUUAUAUUAACCACAUUAUUAUUUUAUAUUAAUCAUAAAAUUUUAUAUUUUUUAACACAAGGAGAUAAGUAAGCAAAAUAAUAGGGUAAGAUAACAAUCAUGCUACCAGAAAAAUUAAAAGACAGAGAUUUAGCUGAAAACAUCCAAAUUUAUGAAGUUCUUAAAACUUAGUUAAGAUUUUAAAAAUUAUAUUUAAUAUAUUUAUGAACCAUUACUAAAUUGUUGAAAAAAUGUCUCACUUAUAUAUUUAUUUGAUAGUGAACUCUCUCAUUCGCUCACUUUAAUACUUAUUAUCAUGAGAUGUUGGAAAUGAAAUUUAUAAAUACUUUCGAGAAUAUGUUAGUGAUCUACAUGUUGAGUCUCUGGACGAUCUAGAUGAUAUAUCUAGAUGAUCUAGACGCUAGACAGUCUUAUGAAAUACUAAAUGGUCCUUUAGUUUAUAUCAUAUGUUUAUGUUUUGAUGAUACAAAAAUUGUUUGUAUGAUAUGCUUGAAAAUUGGAAGAUCUAAAAAAUGUUUUAUACAAUAGCAGUAUGUAGAGCGUCUACAAUCUUUGUUCAUGAUAUACAGUCUAAGAAAUUAGAUGGUCAUGCUAGACGAUCUGAUGAACAAAUUGAAUGUGUAAUAUUUUUCAAUUAAAAAAUUGAAGGAAAUAUUUUUGAAUACAAUAUCUACUAUAUACGCGUUCAAUCAAAGAGAUUAUGUACUAAAAAAAUGUUAAAAUACGAAAUCACAAAAUCACCCUAUUCAUCGCUAUUUUAAGGAUAUAUCUAAGGUUUAUCUUUUCUUAAACAUAUUUGAUCAAAUUAAUGUUUGCAAUUAUAUUUUAUCAUGAGUUGCACAUAUUUUGUACUUUUUUAAAUAGAAAUAUUAUGAAUAAAUAAAAAUCUUUAAUGUUUUGUUUUAAUGUCAUGAAAAAGAUGGAAUGAAAAGAUUAUCAAUUUAAGUUUUGAUGAUUUUUUACUAAUCCAUAUUGCGAUUACUUUCAAAUUAAUUUUGUUCAACAUAUUUGAAGCAAAACCAAAUUUUGUUAUUUUUUAGGAUCGCAUACCAAAAAUAUGAUAAAAGAUAAUGAAAAAUUCAACGUAACCACUUUAGGAUCAAAUGUCAAAUUAAAAGAUAUAUAAAGAUAUUGAAGGAGUAGAACGAAAAGAAAGGCUAACAAAAGUCAUAUUAGCAAUCUUGUUGAAAAUACAAAAGAGAUGCAGUGAGUUUCUAAUAUAGUUAUAAGAGCAUCUAGUCUACUAGGUUGAGUGUUGAACCAUUGUAAUUCUUCACAUUGUGAAGUAAUACUCGUAUGAGCUUUCUUUAUGCUCUUUUUGAGAGUGUUUUAUUGGUUCUUUGGGGGGUUAAUAAGUUGUAACCUGGAAAUGUGCUAAUACUUGUUAUAACCUAGAGAGGUGAGAGUACUAUUUGAACUUGGAGAGGUGAUAAUACGUGUUAUAACCAGUUGGUUAGUGGAAGCUCCUAAGCAGUUUCUUAAGGGGACUAGACAUAACCUGAGUUUGGGUGAACCUGGAAAUGAUUUACUAUUGUUGUUUUAAUUCUUACUAUUGAAUGAUUUACUAUACAAACUUACUAAACAAUCUAUUAAACAGUCUUACUAUAUGUAUAUGUUAGACGAUUCAUUAAACGAUCUAAUUAGACAAUCUAAUUAUUCAUUGCGAAAAGAGAGUCUAAAGGCUCCAGUAAACCCCUCUUCUAGAGCCAAUUACACCUACAAUUGGUAUUAGAGCUAACCUUUGGGGUUAGUUCUUAACAGGAUAAGAGGAGAUGAUCCUGAUAGACUCUAUGGACUCUGAAAAAUAAGUGCUUAUGAUUCAUCAAGAAAAGUGAUCAUGUUAUAAGUUCUUUAUUUUUAAAUCUAUCACACUCCAAGUAAUACUUUUCCUUUUUUUUGGUAAAUUUUCUUGAUGAACUGGUCAUGCGAGGUGGGCUAAAGUGGGUUAGUGGGUUGAAAAAUUGAGUCCGCCCCACGUUUCUUACUAGCGGGCUUUGCCAUCCCUAAUUAUUUUUAGGUCAAGCUUUAGCUCAAAUAAAUUGUAUAGAGUUGUUUAGGAUUUCAUGGGUCAUGUAUUGGGCCUAGUAGCAUAAAAUAAUUGGACCAAAUAUUUAGGCCAAGUAGCAUAAGAUUUUGGACUUGUAUUUGGGUCAAUAAUAAAAUAGUCUAGUUAGGGUAACAAUUGAGCUUCUUUAAGCUCAACGUAACCCUAAAACAUAUAGGAUAUAUUAGAUGACGAAAAUUACAUUGGCAUGGAACACAUGGACGUCCACAUGGCAGCUUAAGAGUGGAGAGGAAUUAACAUGGAAGGUGUGAGCUAAACAUGGAAGCAUUCACAUGGCACCUUCUCAUUGGAGAGUUUUAUUUUGAAUUUUCAAAUUUUGGGUCCAAAACUUUUCAGCCUUCUCUCCUAUAAAUUGAGAUGCUUGGCUCUCAUUUUAUAAGAUCAAUAUAUGAGUGAAUUGGUGCCCAAGUUUGCAAGCUUUCUCACUCCCUUGUCUAGACUUCUCUAGGAUAGACACCUUGAUCUUCUUCUUCACCUCUCCAAGUGAUAUGGCCCAACCAAUCACUCUCCCUAACUUUCAUGUACCUUCAAGGAAACCAUAGCUCCAUUGGAGCCCUCCUUGUUCCACUCCUUCCAUUGAGCUUCCACAAACUCCAUCAAAAGUCCAAGGAAACCAAUCGGUCAUGAAGGCAACACCAUCAUCCUUUCUCUUGUCGAAUGUUUACCAAAGCGGUGAAUAUCAAAUGGUGUGGUUGACUCAUUACAAACUGUGUCCUGAACUUAGCCGCCAACAUGUCGAAAGAGUCAAUCGAGAGGGGGGUGGGAAGUCAUGUGAACCAACCUAGCGCCCCCCUUCAAAGAUGUGGGGAACAUGUGAAUAACACAACUUCGUUUGUCAUAUUCCUUGUUGAUACAAAAAAUUUCUUCAGCAUCUUGCUUGAGACCUAUAUUCCUUGCGUAAGCUGAGAAGGUUUCCUCUCAAUUAUCCCACAAUUGCUUUUCGUUCGCUAUGGGAUGUACUCCUCGUAAUGCUUAUUAGUGGAUGUGUUAGAUCCGGGAUGGUGAGGGUAUACAUGCAAAAAGUGCUUUGUGGCCCAAGUCAGUUCUUUAGGUGGUUGAGAACGAUAAAUGCUAUUAAAACCUACCUUUUACCCGUCUUACGUCAAUCUAUUUAUAUAGUUGUAUUGGGCCUUUGCACGGAUGAGUUUGGAUUGGUACGAAUGGAGUGAUUAACCAAAUAUUAAUAGAUGGUACAAAUGGUUUAGCAUGUUCCAGUUAGGGAUUAGUCUUGUUCUUAAUUAUUUGUUGCAUUAUAUUUCCUAUAUGGGUUCGAUUGUCUUUCCAAGUUCACUUCAACUACGUGAAGCUAUUGUUAUUGGCAUAUGGUAUGAGAAUGAUUUCAAACCAUUGUUAUCGACAUAUGGUAUGAGAAUGAUUAGUUGAAGCUAGAUUUUACUCAAAUUUCAAAACCAUUGUUAUCGGCAUAUCGUAUGAGAAUGAUUUCAAAUUGUUGUUAUCUACAUAUGGUAUGAGAAUGAUUUCAAAUUGUUGUUAUCUACAUAUGGUAUGAGAAUGAUUAGUUGAAGCUAGAUUUUACUCAAAUUUCAGAACCAUUGUUAUCGACAUAUCGUAUGAGAAUGAUUUCAAACCAUUGUUAUUGAUAUAGGGUGUGAGAAUGAUUAGUUGAAGCUAGAUUUUACUCAAAUUUCAGAACCAUUGUUAUCGGCAUAUUGUAUGAGAAUGAUUUCAAGCCAUUGUUAUCGACAUAUGGUAUGAGAAUGAUUAGUUGAAACUAGAUUUUACUCAAAUUUCAUAACCAUUGUUAUCGGCAUAUCAUAUGAGAAUGAUUUCAAACCAUUAUUAUCGACAUAUGGUAUGAGAAUGAUUAGUUGAAGCUAGAUUUUACUCAAAUUUCAGAACCAUUGUUAUCGGCAUAUCGUAUGAGAAUGAUUUCAAACCAUUGUUAUCGACAUAUGGUAUGAGAAUGAUUAGUUGAAGCUAGAUUUUACUCAAAUUUCAGAACCAUUGUUAUCGACAUAUCGUAUAAGAAUGAUUUUUGACCAUAUAAUGUACAUAUUGAAUUAACUUUAAAAAGUUCUCUUAUGAGUUUCAUGUCUAAGUGGGUGCAAACUUUAUUCAAACCCUACAAUGUUUUGUUAAGCUUAAGGUUGGUUUAAUUUUAAAAAUCAAAAGAUCUUAUUUAACCUAAAUAGAAGCAUAAUUUCAUCUUGGGUUGAGAAGGAUAGAGUAGUUAGGAGUGGGUAGAUGUGACUUAAAAAUCAAAUUCACCAUGUUAGUAGCUUGUUUUGUUUGGAUUGUGGUUGUUCUGCAAUACGAAUGAAAGUGACGAGUGGGUAGAUGUCAGGCCCCUAAACAGGACCAACAUAACCACUGCACCGUGCAACUGCCUUCUGUGCACUCCUUUUAUUGUUUCACCAGUUUCAUACCUAAAGGACAUUGAUUAGCUCCAAUGUCCAAUGUUGGUAGGGUUAAUUUGAACAAAAUUGUGCCCACUUUCAUUUCUCGUACCAUACAAAACUUUAUCCUAUAGCUAUUAUUGAACUAUCUAUAAACUGAGGAAUCUGCUUCUUGGUCACACAUUUGAUAGUUGAUAAUGAAUUAAUGAUGGAAAGAAAGUAAACUAUUCACAUGUUUGAAACGACACGUUGAGACCACUUCUGACUCCCAAACCAUCUCAAACCAUUCAAAUGAUGCAGAAACUUUGGACAAUCUCUAAGAGUUUACUUUUAUGUGCAAGAAAGUCUUGAUUGAUGUAUUUUUAAAAUGGUAAAAAUACAAAAAAACUAAUUUUAAUGAUAGAAGUUUAAUUUGUAUGGAUUAAUUUUAUGAAAUGGUAAAGGAGUAUAAAACACUGAAAAUAUUAGCAUUUCAGUAGUGGUUUUUGUUGUUGCAGAAGUGGCAGAGUAUUUGUGACAGCAGAAGGGUAAAGCAAAUUGAAUAUGCAUUAAGAAGAAGAAAAAAAUCUUCCCUGACAGCUAGUUGUGCCAAAGAAUUUGUUGAAUUACAAAGAGUAUGAGUUUGUUGAAUAAGAAUGGUAUGAAAGAGCAAAUGCUGCAUGUAUUGCAGCACCAAUAGGAAGCACAUCUUCGUCAAUGAAAAAGUAAGGACUAUGAGCAGGAUAUAUGGAUCCACUCUUCUCAUUUCGUGUACCCAGAAGAAUGAAUGUGCCAGGUACUUUUUCCAAGUAAAAUGCAAAAUCUUCACUCCCAGUGAAGAGGGGAGCUAAUUUUACUUUAUCUUCUCCAACAAUCUUACUAGAGACUUGGUGUGCUAGUUGGUAUAUUCUUACAUCAUUUGUGGUUGGAGGGAUUGUGGGCUGUUCAUUACCUAAGAACUCAACCUCAGCAAAACACCUAUGUACUUCUGCCUGCCCUUUGAUAACCUGCCCAAAAGAGGUUACAAAUCCACUUAGACAAAUCUCUUUCUAUCUUUAGUUUUUUCUUCAUAGUGACCUUAUAUCUAGAGUGCAAGCCCUGGAACAAAGUAAGGUGCAUUGGGUGACCCCUUUAAGAUUAUCCUUAAAAUUGACAAGUCCUGUGAUUUAUGUUAUUCUAAAUGCAAGUUCUUGAGAAAACCAAGUAUAAAAUUCUUCAUCCUACAUAAUAUCCACUGAAAGUUGUUUCAUCUAAAAAUCAAUUCUGGAUCUGUAAUCACGUGAAAUCAAACAUAUGACUUUGAUCUAAAAUCAUGUUAACCAGUAUUUCAUUGUCAUGCUGGAAAUUAGUUCACAACAUUUUGAUAAAACAAUAUGGAAUGGACAUAACCAGAUGUUUACCUCUUCUAUCCUUUUCCUGAGUCCAUAGAAGCUCUUUUUGCUGAAUGCUCUGUAAGUACCUCCAAAUGUAGCUGAAUCAGGGAUGAUGUCGUGAGCAUACCCUGCAUUGAUCAUGGCCACAGAAAGCACCUGCCAAACUAAGAUCUCUGUAUAAAGUUUUGUAGAACUAAUAAGUCAUGAAGAGAAUCAGUUGUACAUACUAAUUAAUGCGCCAAGUUUCAUCUUGCAAUGUUUUUAUACUACUGAAUUUGAGAAUUUCACUCCACCUGAGAAUCCAAAGGAUCAACCUCCCUCGAAACAAUGUUUUGCAAGCUAAUAACUGAUGUUGAAGCAGCCAAAACUGGAUCAUAACAAUGCUGGGGAACGCCUGCUAAACCCCCUUUUCCACUGAUCUUUGCUUUGAAGCCUCCACAUCCAGCUAAAAAUUCUCCUGGCCGUGAUGCAACAACACCCGUUUGAUACUCUGACCCCAAGUGCAACCCAAGAAUAGCCCCAACAUCUUCAAGCACCUUUUCUCGGACCAUUUCUUUUGCCCCUGUGCCUCUUUCCUCAGCUGGUUGGAAGAUUAGAACAACAGUAGUCUGCAUGUGAAGUUAAAAGUUUUCAAAGGAAGAAAGAUGGAUGAUAUAUCCUAAAUUCCUAAUGUUCAUCCUCCAAUUACACUUUACCUGUAACACGUCUUUCAUUUCUUGCAGUAUCUUUGCAGCUCCAAGUAGCAUGGCAACAUGUGCAUCGUGUGCACAAGCAUGCAUUUUUCCAUCCACUUUGCUCUUAUGAUCCCAUUCGACCCUUUCCUGUUGCCAGGCACAUAUGUCAAACUAACCAUCAAUUACUUGCCAAAAUUGUCCUAGAAGAUAGCAUUGGUAAAGAAUGUUGUGUCCCUAUUCUCGGCUUAGUACAAAUGUACAGUAUUUCAACUGGAUAUACUAAUAUAAAAUGAUCAAAUUCAUUUAUCUCAUUUAGUCACAAAUGGGUGGUUUGCAAUAUAAAUGAAUAAGAGAUUAGAAAUCUGAGUAAAAGAAGGUAGUGUGAGAGGAGUAAUAUAAUGAUACAAAAAAUCCUGUAGAAGUUGUGAAAGGAAAUUAACUGAUUUCACCCAUUAUUAGAACAUUGAUGGUGGAUUAAGGUGUGAAUUUCAGUACAGGUCCCAUUAUAGUUAUGGUCACAACUUUCCAUUAUAAAAACAGUACCCCAGGUUGUACUUAGUGAACUUCAACAAUAAUUAUCUUGCCACUGUUUCCUUUUUCCAUUUCUGAAAACAAUUCCCAGUUACAUGAUCAACAAGCCUUUUUCAAAAUCAAUACAGGAUGCUUCCUCAGAUUCAAACAAAGACCAAUUCCCAAGUCCAGAAGAUUACAAACACAAUUAAACUUUUUCCUUUCUUUUACAAUUUCUGUCCACCCAGGAAACAUAACUAUUUGCUAGGACCCUUUUCUGAUUUUGUUUUCACUAAAAGAAAUAACAAAAUCAAUAGUUAAAACCAACCAGAGCUUAAUAUCCACAAACAUAAGCAUGAACACGUCCAUCACUUGUGUCCAUGUGGCAUCAAAGAAGAAAAGCUUGGAAGAAUAAAGUGAGGAAACAGAACAAAGACCUUAACAAAAAACACAAGACUGUGAAUGGUUUGUAAAAUAGCAACACUAACCUGAAUUGGCAAAGCAUCCAUGUCUGCUCUGAGAGCAACAAAAGGAGGAGACCCAGAACCAAGUUUUGCAACCACACCAGUCCCAGCCACAGGCCACUUGUAGGAAACACCCAACUGGUCAAGCUCACGCCUGAUGAGAGCACUUGUCCUGAACUCCUCAUUCGCAAGUUCUGGAUGUUCAUGGAUUUCCCUCCUUAUUCUCUUCAUCCAUUUCACCGUGCUGGGACUGUUAGCUAGCUCGCUAAUCUGCUGCUUCAGAGAAGACGAACUUUGGUUGGAAAACUCAUUGAUUGAAGGAGUUUGAAACGUGAAAGUGAAGCAGGUGGGUAGGAAGAGGAAAAGUAGGAGAAUAAGUCUAAGAUGGUCCAUGUGGCCAAGUGGUAGAUAUGAAGCUGAAAAAUGGAAAAUGCUUNNNNNNNNNNNNNNNNNNNNNNNNNNNNNNNNNNNNNNNNNNNNNNNNNNNNNNNNNNNNNNNNNNNNNNNNNNNNNNNNNNNNNNNNNNNNNNNNNNNNGUAAGUAGUAAGUAGUACGUAAAGUAAGUAAAGUAAGUAGUCGUGUGUAUAUAUAUAUAUAUAUAUAUAUAUAUAUAUAUAUAUAUAUAUAUAUAUAUAUGUAUGUAUGUAUGUAUAUGUAUAUAUGAGAAGCCUUGACUAGAGUGGAUUUUAUUAUGUCCACCAUAGAGAAAAUCCGACCAUUCUUCUCUGUAUUGGUUGGCACAUCAAAACUAUAGCUUUAUUCUGGUAAAAGGUUAUCUGAUUGUGUUUGUGAUUUCUUGCCCUUACCCAACUCUAUAUGCAUUUUUUUAUGCCAAACUUUUUCUUUUCUUUGUUCUCCAUUGAGAGAGAAUAAAUUUAUUUAUUUUUAAAUAACCCAUUUAGUGCAUUCAUUGAUAAUUCAAGAUAAAAAAAAACUGAGUUGGUUGGAAUUCACAUGUACUAAAUGAAAGUUUAACUUAAAAUUAUUACAAUGGGAUCUAUUAUAUAGUAUUCUUCUAUUUGGAUGUACUACUAGUUAUCCUAUACUAUAGAAGUGUGAUACUUUAAUAUCUUUUAAAAGUAUGAUAAUCGGUGUACAAGUAGUUACACGUUAUUUGUUUGACUCUAAAUUAUAUAAUUAUAAAAUUAUAUUUUAGCCAUACUUUUCUUAGAUGAGUUAUGGUGACGGGUGCUAAAAUAUCUUUUCUAAUAAAAUAAAUAACAACUAAAGUUCUAUUCUCGUAAAAAAAUUCAAAUUGGCAUUUCACUUAAGUAUUAAUUUCUUUUCUUCUAAAAAGUACCAAAUCAAAUAUCAUUUUAUAAAGAAGAACACUUAUUGUUUUUGUAAUCACAUUAACUCAUGUUGUGUUUGGAUCUAGAUGAAUAUUGUUCACCCAAAUAAAAAAGGGGAGAAGGGGAGAGUAAACCUCGUUUGGAUUUACUGGUGUAUGAGAAAGUGAGGAUGGGGAUUUGGGGGAAAGCAGGGUUCAUGGUGUUUAGACAAGGUGAAGAAAGGAGGAGAAAGACAACUAGUACAUGUGGAUAAGAAUAAAUUGUCCUCGCUUUUUAUCAAUGUGCAUGGUUGAACGUUGCAAAGAUUCUUAAAGUAUAUAUGCAUAAAGAUUUCUAAAUGUUGCAGAAGAAUAAUUUGACUAUGGUUGUUGAGCAUUUGAAAUUGUCAUUAAAAACACGUUAAUGCAAAUGACCUUGGUACACCUUUGGUUCAUGGAUUCCUUCUUUAUUCUCGCUUGAGCUAGUGUUGUGGUUGGUUUCGUUUUUUAUUUUUUCUUAAGGUGGUGGUGUGUGAAGUUCUUUGGUCAGUGCAACUUGAGUUGGUCUUGGUGGUUGUGAAGUGCAGUGUGGUGGUGUUCGUGUGAACAAAGGUGGUGGCCACCCUUGUGCUUUCGUGAUGGUUUGUUCAAAAACAACUUUUGUAUGCAUUGAGGUAAUCUUCCAUGGCUAAAAAACCUUUAAGCGGUCAUGAUAAAGAAGAAGUAGAACACUUAACAAUGAACUAACUCAAGAAAAUUGAUUAGCAAUGAACAAUAAUCGAUUAUAUGGUUGGCACUUUUCAAAUUUUUCAUAGGAAAAUCGAUUAUGCCGCCCACAUAAUCAAUUAUGGCCUUUUUUUUUAUGUCGUUGUUAUGUGAUUUCUGUUUUACAUUGGUUGGAGUUUACAUGAUUUUUGCAUUGUAUGAAAGCCAUUUUGAAUAUUUUAUAAACCAUUUACAAUAUACAAUAUUAUGUGUAGGUUGAUUACAAGCUGGUGAAAGGGAAAUUUGAGGUUGAAAAGCUUCAGUUAAUAGUUCUAGUUUGGCCAGGUGUUGUUGUUGGUUCAUUAUUAUACUUAUGACCUUGUUUUUUAUUUUUUUUGUUAGAUAAUUUUGUUCCUAUAUUUUUAAAACAAGUAUUGGUAUCGUGUAAAGAAAGAUUUUGAUCUCCUACUUGUGAAAUUGCACAUUUUUAGUAGGUUAUCUGCUUUCACUUUUCUUUAUCUACUAUUUUCAAUAUGUUUGAAUAAAACAGUUUCCGUUAUUAUAAAAGAAGUUAAUAUCUAUAUCUAUAUAAAAGAGAUUUUCCUUAUAACCAUUUUUUGGUGUAUAUACAUUUUUUUCUAUUCUACUUUUAUUUAAUAUAUCUCAUUUUAUUAAUACAAGGAAGUAUUUUGUCAUUUCAUAUCAAUUAUUUAAAAAAUAAUAUUAUUUUUUAAUUUUUUAAAUUAGUAUUAAUGUAUGGUUUUUAUAUGACUUUUCUACUUUUUUCUUAAUUCCUUAUUUUAAGGAAACAAUAGGAAAAAAGAGAAAGCAUAAUCUCACAUAUUUUCAUACCAAAUCUCACAUAUCAAAUAAAAUAAUUUCUGUUUUCAAUCACUCUUUGCACUCCAUUUUUAGCUUUUCAAUUUUGACUAAUCCAAAAUCAUUUAUAUAUAUAUAUAUAUAUAUAUAUAUAUAUAUUAAAUUUCUAUUAUCGUAACAGUUGAGUAAAAUAGGAAAAUGCGGAUACCCAGACGCAAUUGUGCCUAUGUUUCUGCUGGUUUAUAUAAAUAUUUUAAUUUACAGUAAAUAUAUGCUAUAUUAAUAAAAUACUUUUAACAUGCAUACUUUUGAUCUGUUAGUAAAAACUGUUUGAGGUGGAAAUUUGUAUUUACAUGUGGAAAACGUGUUUGUGUUAGCAACACACGUAGCUUAGGAUUUUUAAAUUAUGAGAUUAAUUCAAAGAUUAGGCAAGGUAAAAACAACAAAAGGUUAGGAACAAUCAUGGAAACAAGCCUAAAAAAAACUUGUGGAUCAUGCCUGAUAUCAUUUUAUCUUUUCUUGCUUUUAACUAAAACCACAUGUUUCACUCUUCUACCAAAAUAUAUGCUUCAAUUAAAUAGUUUAAUUAUUUGUAUGGUUCCUAAUGCUCUUCAUUCUAGAUAGCAAAUUUUCCUUUUUCUUAAUCACCUCUUGAACUGAAGUACAAUAAUAGGGUGGAAUUUUGGAAUUUCAAAAUAAGUUUUUUCAAUUGGGACCCAAAAAAUAAACCUUCAACCAUAUCUCCUAAUACAUUGUUGGUUUUUUACCUUUGGCAAUUCCUUAAAGUUUAACCCUCAACUUAGUGUAAUUAAUAUUAUAUUAAUAUUAUAUUAAUAUUAUUAAUAUUAUAUUCAUAUUAUUAAUAUUAUUAAUAUUAUAUUCAUAUUAUUAAUAUUAAUAUUGUUAAUAUUUUUAAUAUUGUUAAUAUUAUUAAUAUUAUUAUUAAUAAUAAGUAUAAUAAAAAUCAUAAUAAUACUAAAGAAUUUGUUUGGUGUAGUGGUUAAAUUUUCUUUGCUUACUGAAGGAAAAAAUCCGUAUGUAAUGUUGAUUUUACAUACGGAUCAAAAUCUGUAUGUAAUAAUCCAUAUAUAAUUCGCGUUUUUCUUGUAGUGGAAAGCCAAGAGCUAAGAUAUGUGGUGUUCUUGGCUUUUUCUUUAAGAUUCUUAUUUUGGUUCUUGUAAUUUAUGUAUCUUCAAAUGUUUUGAGGUAGCAAUGGGUGAAUUAUAAGGCAUUUAGAGUUGUUCUUUAAUGGGUAAAGUUUGAGGAGUAUAUGACUAAGCAAGGUCCUCAUUAAAUAAAAGAAGAAAGAAUAAAGAAGAGUAGAAGAGGAAUUGAAGGCAACAUCUUAUCUUGGUUGAAUUGGAUUCACUUUUGGAAAUUCCAAUUCAAACUUUGGCAUGCAUAAAUUUGUCGAUCUUCUUAAGAAAAUGUGAGGAAGAUCACUUAUUGAGAAAAUUAUUCAAGGUAAUAACUCUAUGAAAAAAAAAAAACAUGCACAUCACAAAAUACUCUCAAUGUUAUUAUUACUAAAGUUAAGUACAAUGAUCAUAUGUACUCUUUUCAUAUAAAAAGUCUUGCGUGUAGGAAGGAGUGAUCAAACACUCCAUUUCCCUAAUUUUGUAUCAAAACAACAAACAUAAAAAUAGUUAGUUAAUUAUAUUGAUAAAUAACCUAUCACAACAUAAAACACAAGUUUUAUUAGAUAUAAUACUAUUCUCUAUAAUUUCUAAACUCUUGAAAAUAUAUUUUUAUAUAUUUGUAUCUCCAUUUCUUGUCAUUUUUCUUGAAAUGAAUUUUUCUUUUCUAGGAUCACAUCACAUGAUCUCCUCAACUUUGUUGAUGUGCCUCUAAGGUAUUAUUCGCUUAUUUUUGAAUUAGAGACUCGUCAAAUGCACUGGGUGAAGCCAUUUAAUGAAGGUGUUAAUGAAUAUUCCCUUGUUUGGUUAAAGGAUUUUCACCCUAACAUUAGAAAAAAUGGUCCUAGUAUUCUUUUUGUGUUCAACCUCAUGUUGUUUGAUAUCGAACAUGUCUAUAGGAUCUAGUGGUUUAAGCUUAUUUAUCACAAAGUAGACCACUAAACAACUUGGAGAAAUCCUAGAAAGAUGAGAUAGAUCUAUUUGGAUGGUUGUUGGACUAAUCCAAUGUUGAGCCAGGGAGAGUUCAUACAAACAUCUUGCAAUGGACUCCAUUUGACCCCACUAAUUAGUAUUUUAACUCAAAGAUGGUUUCAAGUCGAAAAUUAUACCUUGAGGCCCUAUUAAAAAUUCAAAUUUGGGAACCAUGUAAUAUGUUGGAAUUGAAUCUUUUGUUACCUUACUAAAAAAGGGUUCAAAAUCAUGUUUCUCCAUUGCAGGCUCAGUUUUUGACCUCCCAUGAUUAGUGAUUUGUGCCUUCAACAAUUGUUGUAGUUCUUUAUUUUUCUAGAGAAAUAAUUAUUGUGCUCUCAAGGAGUCUUUGAAAUUUGGAUUCCUCGCUCUCUCUACACAAUUCCUCUUCUGCUUGUUCGACAACAUCAACCCUUUGGUGAGCCAUCUCAAUCUAUUGUUGUAGAUCAUUCAUUACUGUCAUUAUUCGUUAUAAAGAGGAGCCUCUAAUUCACUAUUAUCACGUGACAAGGUGUGUUUAGAACCUCUAAUCCUCUUAUGCUUUAUAACUAGAAAAUAUUUAAUUGGUGCAGAAAUAGUUUUACCUGCACCCAAUGAGAGUCAAAAUUAUAGAAAAAUGUUAUACCUAAAAGUCUCAAAGAGUUCUAGGAUCUCAACCAAAAUAUGUCUUAUUCUACUAUAUCCUAAGCUUAUUAAUAAACAAAGGACCGAAUGAUCCAAUAUCUUUAUUAGUUAGUCAAACAUGCACAUUGUUGUCACUUGCUUCCCAAGUUACCAAGUGUCAUGAUCUGAAUGAUCUAAUUUACCAGGAAUUUUUCCCAAGUGGCUACGUAGUCAUAAUAAAGUAUAAUGGUUUUAUAAAACCCGUGCACAUGAUGAAAAAUAACAUAAUAUGCAAUAUAUACUCAUUAUCAUGUAAUAAAAAACUUAGAUAAAGAGAUUAAGUGUACUAAUAGCAGAAUAAGAUAUGACAUACCCUUAAAGUUUGAUUAAAUGUUGCUAAAUAACAAAACAUAAUUCAUGAAAAAACUUUGUCUAUAAGACACAAUUUUAUAAAAGAAAAAACAUGUGAGCACAAUGUGCUUCGUCUGAUAAACGUAUAACACAUGUUGGAGAUCCCACAUCGACUAGAGAUUAGAGCAUUUAAUAGUAUAUAAGUGGGUGCAAACCUCACCUUAAGUAGAUUUUAUGAGGUUGAGCUAGACUUAAAGUUCACUUCUUAAUAUGGUAUCAGAGUCAUUUCAAGUCUAUCCUAGCGAGAGUUUGUUGGGCCUAUCAUGUCACCUGCUAUCAGACCACCCAUAAAUAUAUAGUCUCAUACAUGCCUUAUAAGCCGGUUUUAUGAGGUUGAGUUAGGCUUAAAAUCCACUUCUUAAUAACACAUGAGUGUUUUUUGCUUUGUUAGAUAAGUAAAGGUCUCGUUAGACGAUAUGCAUGCACACAACAUUUUAAGCUAAUGUUGUAUCUAACAAAAAUCUUUAUGAGCUUAUUCCAUAUUAUUGAGAAUGUUCUCAUAUCCACGUAUACCAAAAAGAUCUCAUAAAGUACAAGUCAAUGUCAAACAUCUCUUGAAGGACACACUAAAGAUAUUUCAUGACAACACACAUUCUGGUGCGCCCUAUGUCAACUAUGGAAAGACUAUCUAACCUGUACGAUCCUAUGUUUUAGUUCAGUUUGCUUGAAAGCUCUAUGAUUGAGGUUUAAUAAGUGAUGUCAAGUAUUAGUAAGUUGCUUAAAGAAAAGAUAAUCAUUCAACGUUUCACAAAGCGCAAUUAAUGUGUCCCUACAUUCAUCCUUAAACAAACGAAGUCUUGAAGAUGUAAUUUUUUUAUGAAGUCUCUUAGUGGGCAAAUAAAAGGAUUGCAAGGCCUAUUUUCUCAACUUCUUAUUUAAAGAAAUCUUUCAAGUUAAAGACAAGAAGGAAAAGUGAUCAAGAAUUGUAGAAACACUAUCAAUUUCAUUGCUUAAAGCUUUUAGUGUCCAAAACUUCACAAGAACAUUAUUUGUUUGCAUAACAAACCAAUAAUGUUUAAACCUUGUAAUCGUUGAAAGACAUGUUUUCUCUACCUAGUAAGAAAAGUUUUAUGAUCUUUUAAAUCACUCUCCUGUUUACCAAACCUUUAUUUAAAAGUGGUUAUUUUUUAAACAAUAAUCAUAUAUUUAGCAAAAAUUGAGUGAAUUAUUCGUUUAAAUAUUUAUCCAACUGUAGUUUAUGAAGUUUUCUGCUGAUAGAUAUGAGAUACUUUAAAAAAAAAACUUGAUCAACUAUUUUAAUGAGAUUUCGUAAUAACUUUUUCUUCUAUUAAUAAAAUUCGAAUAAAAAAUAUUGUUUAAGGACAACAAGCUUUUAAUCAUCCUCUUGAAUUACCAGUAUAUAAAUAUUAAUUAUUUCUCUUAAUGGUAAAACAGUUUUUAAUCCUCUUGAAAUAUUUUAAUUUUAAUUGGUUUGCUCAAACCAAUCAAUUAAACUCUACCUUUAUUUUUAUAAAAUAUUUAAAUUGGUAUAAAUAUUUAAAUUAAACUUUAUUUUGAAUUCAUGUGCAUGAGAAGACAUAAGACAGUGUUAAGAUGAUGAUCUAAACAGCCUUUGACUAAUCUCUGGAUUAAACAAAUCAAAUCAUAUUUAUUUAUUUUUGCUUUUGUUUUAAGGUUAAAUUGAAGAAUUUAAGGUUGAGUUUGCAGCCAUGAGAAACGUGUACGGAAAAAAGCACGUUUUCCUCAAUUCUAAUAUAAAAUGUUUUAUAUUCAGCUGCCUAAUUUGAAGGAAUUAUUGUAGCUGGUUCUGUCCCAUCAUGAGAAAAGAAAGAGAUCAAUUUAUAAUGUUAUAUAUAUUGUUGUAGACAAAUUCCAGAAGCACCACUAUUUUAUGUGGUUUCUAAUGAAUCAUCAUAUUAUCAACUUUUUUUUAUUCUUAAAAUAGAAAAUCAUCAACACUUUUUGUCGAAUCUUUUUUUUUUUUCCAUAACCACCACUCUCAUUCAAUGUUAUGCUUCGUAAUCAUUUUUUUAAUAAUCACACUCAUCCAACGUCAUAAUCUCUUCAGCAGGAAUAUUUACAAAAUGUGGUUUAAUUUUUUUUUCUUCAUUUUAUAAAAGUUGGUUAGUUUUAAAAAAUUACAAAAAAUAUGAUAAGUCGUGUGUGGAAGGAUGAUUUAAUUUAGCAUCUCAUUGAAUAUAUAAUAAUGAUAUAUAAAUUAAAUUUCAGAAGCAGAUGCAUGUUGAAUUUUUUUAUGUCAUUUAUUUUUAAAAUUGUAUAUUUAAUUAUUUGUAAUUGAAUAUAAUUUAGAUAGUUUAUUAUUAUAAUUUAAACAAAUAUUUAGUAGUAAUGAAUUAAAAAGUACGUAUUGUUUCAUUUCUAAAUGUUUGAAAACAUAAUUCAAAUUUUUUGAAUUUUAAUUUUCCCGCAAGUAUUUUAAUCACCACCAAAUGCAAAAAAACAAAAAUAAAAAAUCAUUUAAAUAUAAAAUAUUUGUUAACAAUUAAGAAAGAAAAUUUAGUUUACAUCUAUAAAAAAAAAUAGCCUUUAACUAAUAUUGAGUUAGAAAUAAGAGUGAUACACAAUCAACAAAAAUAAUUCUAACAAUUUAAAAAAAAAUUAUUACCAACAUCACUUAAAAAAAUUAAUGACGUGGUCACGAUUAUUUUUAUAUAUAAUAUUAUUUACAAACAUUGUUAGAUAUACGUGUAGUGUAGUGGUUUUGCAUAUAGUCUUAUAUCUAGUCGUUACAAAGAAUAACAUGACGGUCUAAUGCAAUCCGUCAUAGUUUCCCGUCAAUUAACAUAUUGUAUAAAGUAACUUUUUAAGCAUGUAAUUUAUGUUAAUUAUAAAUGUGGUAGUUAUUUAACGUUAUAUAGUACAUUAUAAUAUUUAAAAUUAGACAUAUUUUUCAUAAUUUAAUUUAUUUUAAUUUCAUAAUUUAAUUUAAUCUCAUAAUUAUUAAUAAAAUAAUUAAACAAUACACAAUUUAUAAUAAGAAAUAAAAUACAUUCAUUCAUUUUCAAAUGAUCAAAAUUUACAUGUGUUUAAAAGUACACCAAAAUAACAUUUGAAAAAUAUGUUGAAACACUAUAUUACAAGACACAAGUUAAUCAAUUAUUUCACUUUAUCCUACAAUAUUUUCACCUUGACUACCUUAUCCUCAAUAUUUGGUAACAACUUUUGAAUUUUGUCUUGUCCUUCUAAAAACAAGUCUCUAAUCACAUUGCAAACAAAACUCAUCCCUCUAGAACUCCAGCAUGGGAUCUUUACAUUUUUCGGUAUAAAGUAUCAUAUUCAACAUUGCUUACCUCUUCAUAUGGUUGUUGUUUCACCAACUUUAUUCCUCAAUUUAUGUAAGUCUCGAUACGAGCUGCAUUUUUACUAGUUACCUUGAUUACAAAUACAAUAGUGACAAUUAAAAAAUUUGCAAUUAAAAAAUAUAUAAAUCAUUCUCUCUUCAUUUUCCAAUUAGAUAUGAAUUUAGGAAAAAAAAAGACAAUAUACAUGCUUGAGUUUCAAAACAAAAUUCUUGUGAACAAUUCCAAUCAAAACCCUAAAUCAACUAGAAUGUAUAUGUUUUUUUUUAUCAAAGCUCUCAUGUUAGGCAAACUAGCAUAUAAUGUUGCAUAGAAACUUAAUGAUUAUUUUUUACCCCACUUAAUCUUCUUGUUUGAUUUGGUCAUGGAGCAUCACUUCCAAUAUUUGGUGCCUUGAAUAAAUAAAAAAUAAUUGUAAUAUUAGAUACCAAUUUAUAAUUUUUUAUUAAUAAGAGAAACUACUUUAGAUAUCAAUAUCAUUUUUUAGUUUAUAAAGUAGCAUCUAACUUAUUCAAUGUAGUAACUAAUCAUUUUUUUCUCUAAAAUUUAUUUUUAUAUUUAAUAAUUUUUUUUAUAGUGUUGAAAUACCAAAAAUUUAUAUAUUACAAUUGCUUUCUAUGUAUUUUUUAUAUUUUAAAAUAUUAUAUAAUUUGUUUAUAAUAGAAUAAACAACCAUUCAAUUAUUCAAACACUUUUUUAUUGGGACAAUUUUAUUUCUUAAAUAAAAAAUGAAAAAUUUAUGGAGGCAAUUUUUUAUUCUUUGUAACUUGUUUCUCUCUCACUCUCUGAUAGACUAGCUAAUAUAGCUCUGCACUAAUUGAAAAAAAAAAUACAAAUAUAUGUAUCAACGUGGAAAAUGCUAUCUUAUAAGUACAAACAGUAAUAACAUCUUCCCAACUAGUUACAUAUUUUUCAUACAAUAUUUUGAUAAAUUUAUGUGAGCAUAAUGCAUGAAUGCAUUUAUCACAUGGAUAUAUAGACAGAAGAUGCACACGUGUAGUGACGUCCAACCAAACAUCAUCGACACAAUGUAUUUGUAAAAGAGAAAUUCAGUUAUUCUCUUUGUUUGUGUAAAGUGAAGAAUAAAAUUGUGCAAAAUAUAUAUAUAUAUAUAUAUAUAUAUAUUAGCGUAUAUAAAUUAAUUUUAAUUUAUAAAAAACAAAUUUUUUGGAUGAGAAAAUAUCCUCUGAAAUUUUUGAAAGAUAACAGAAGAUAGUGGUACUGAUGGAAAUAGUAUUCCGAAAGAAGUGAAAGAAAUGAAGUUUGAGUGGUGAUGUCAAUUGAUACUUUGCUUCCAAACUGAGUUCACAUUCAACUCUAAUAAAUCAAUAACAACAUGGCAUUACAUAUGGCAUUACGUCAUUAUGAGAACAAUUACCACUGUUAAAUAUUACUUUCUUUAUGUUUUGAUGUUUGAAUUUGGUAGAUGUGUGGAACGAGUAAAUAUGUGAAAAUUUAAAAGAAAGUACGAAUGUGAAUAUGUUUGGAUUCAAAACAGUAAAAUUGAUUUGUGAGAAAAAUUUAUUGAAAUUUGUGAAUGGUAGGAUUGAUAAAAUAACUGUACCCUUUAUUAAUAACUGCACACCUUUGCACACUUUUGUUUUGGGUCUUCCAUUUUUUGGGUUUUUGUUUUUCUCUUUGUAAUCUGUGUUUUGCUGUUUGACAUGUACAUAUAUAUAUUCUUAUGGAUCCAAUAAUAAUUAGUUUUUUCUGUGCCAUUAAGUUUCACAAUUCAGACUUCUUUCCCUCUCUUUGUUCUCUGUUUUCUCUCCCUCUCUGUUUAGGGUUUGUCAUCCUCUGUUGGUUGGUGCCUUGGGUGAUUGCUAUCUCUUUGCCAUGGCGGUUAAUCGCAUUAUGGUAUCAUAGCUCUUCAAUUGAAGAGCUCUGUUGCGCACUCUGAAAACUUUCUUUCUUUUAUUCUUCUUGAAUUUAUUUUCCUUGUUUCUCUGUUUGCAGCAAUGGCAGAAGAACGCGUCACUUCUUCGUCUCAACCCGAUCCGAUGAACAGCUACCUCUACCUUCAUCCUAGCGACAACCCCGCUGCUCCGCUCGUCUCACCGGUGUUGGACGCUUCCAAUUACCACUCCUGGAGCCGCUCGAUCUUAACGCUAAAAACAAAGUGGAGUUCGUUCUCGGAAUGCAUCCUUGCCCAGAAAAAGACCAUCGAAAUUUCUCAGUUUGGAACAGAUGCAAUAAUAUGGUAGUCUCAUGGUUAGUACACUCCGUUUCUUUACCUAUUCGGAAAAGCAUUAUUUGGAUGGAUAGUGCCCUAGACAUCUGGAAUGACUUGAAAACUAGAUACUCUCAGGGUGACCUAUCUAGAAUUUCCGAUCUUCAAGUAGAAGUAGCUUCUUUAAAUCAGGGGGAUUUAUCUGUGACUGAGUAUUUUACAAAAUUAAGGAUAAUUUGGGACGUGUUGGACAACUUUAGGCCUAUCCCCAUGUGCACAUGUUCUGUAAAAUGUUUCUGUUUAGUUAAUUCGAUCAUAAGUCAAAGAAAGUGCGAAGAUUAUGCCAUGCAAUUUUUGAGAGGGUUAAAUGACCAAUAUAGUAAUGGUAGAUCACACGUUCUUCUCAUGGAACUCAUCCCACCUAUAUCAAAGAUCUUUUCUCUCGUUGCCCAGCAAGAAAGACAAUUAGCAAACCACAUUUAUGUUAGCAUAUCUAGUAUUAACAGUGUUGAUUCCACUAGGACAUCCUCAUCUACUCUGUGCACUUUUUUUGUGGUAAGCAUGGGCACACUGAAAAUGUUUGUUUUAAAAGAGUUGGGUUCCCUCAUCAAGACAAUAGGAACUCCAAACCUAACACUAGAAAGGUAUGCACGCACUGUAACAGAAAUGGUCACACUGUGGAUACCUGUUACAAGAAACAUGGCUACCCUCCUGGGUACAAAUACUAUAACAGCAAUAGGACUAGUCAGAUUAACAGUCUUAUUACUACUGAUGGUGUUUUCUCUGAGCCUUGUCCUAAAGAACAGGAAAAACGUGAUUACCAUCUCACUGCACAUCNNNNNNNNNNNNNNNNNNNNNNNNNNNNNNNNNNNNNNNNNNNNNNNNNNNNNNNNNNNNNNNNNNNNNNNNNNNNNNNNNNNNNNNNNNNNNNNNNNNNNNNNNNNNNNNNNNNNNNNNNNNNNNNNNNNNNNNNNNNNNNNNNNNNNNNNNNNNNNNNNNNNNNNNNNNNNNNNNNNNNNNNNNNNNNNNNNNNNNNNGUCUUGUCUGCAAAGCUACGAUGUUGAGCGAACCUGGUUACCACCGCACUCAACUUACCAAAUGGCCAACAUGUUUUUGCAAACUAUUCAGGGACAGUCGUUUUUACAAAUAAAUUUUAUCUUCUUGAUGUGUUGUAUAUCCCUCAAUUUGCAUGCAACCUUAUAUCUGCUUCUAAAUUGUCUCUACACUUAAAAUGUAACUUGAUCUUUUCCCCCACACACUGUCUUAUACAGGACAACCUCUCCAAAGAGCAGAUUGGUUUAGCUAAUGCCAAAGCUGGCUUGUACAUCUUUAACUCUUCUAUUUUUCACACUGCCACACACCACUUUAUUCCUUCUGUCUCCUGCACUGUUAAGGAAAAUAAUCUGUGGCAUUAUAGAAUGGGGCAUCCCUCUGAUGAAAGGUUGCAUGUCUUGAAAAGUCAAUACCCUUUUGUUUUUGCUGAUAAAACUCAUAUGUGUGAUAUUUGUAAUCGUGCAAAACAAAGAAAACUUCCCUUUACUCUAAGCACCUCUCACACUACUGCUAUAUUUGAUAUCAUUCAUGUAGAUAUUUGGGGACCCUGUUUUGUUACAUCUAUGCAAGGUUUUCGUUAUUUUUUGACCAUUGUAGAUGAUUUUUCUCGUUAUACAUGGACUAUAUUGUUGCAUGCUAAAUCUGAAGUUCGCACCCAUCUCAUAAAUUUUAUUGCUUAUGCUGAAAAUCAAUUUAAAACAACCGUCAAAUGCAUUCGUUCUGAUAAUGGUGUUGAAUUUGCCAUCAAAUUAUUUUUUUUUGCUUCCAAAGGCACAGUUCAUCAAACUACUUGCAUUGAAACCCCCCAACAAAAUGGUAUAGCUGAACGUAAACACCAACACAUUUUAAACAUCACUCGCGCUUUACUGUUUCAAGCAAAUUUACCUAAUAUUUUUUGGGACUUCGCUGUCCAACAUGCUGUUUUCCUCAUAAAUUGCACACCCAUUCCCCUUUUACAAGAUAUUGCUCCAUAUGAAAAACUUUUUGGAAAACCUUGUGAUAUCUCUUCCUUACGGGUUUUUGGCUGCUCCUGUUAUUCUACUACCAUUCAUGCUAAUAGAAAGAAAUUAGAUCCUAGAUCUGUUCAUGGUAUAUUUCUCGGCUUUCCACACAAUAUUAAAGGUUACAUCAUCUUAAAUUUAAAGUAUCAUCGCAUUGAAGUUUCAAGACAUGUGAUCUUUCAUGAACAUCAUUUUCCAUACAUAUUGAAUCAUGAUGACAAACAGAGCCCCAACACUUUAUCUUUACCCAUUCCUGCUAACUAUAAUACACUCUGUGAUGAUAUUUUGUUUGAUUAUAACUGUCACAAUCAUGAGCACGAGCCUCCAAUCACUCACAAUGAAGACAACAUUAUUCCAACUAGACGCUCCAGCAGACAAAGACGACCCCCUACCUACUUAGAGGACUUCCAGACUUGCUUACCUGCUGCAAACACUGUAAGUAAUCGGUAUCCCAUUCAUAAAUUUCUUUCCUACACUGCUCUCUCACCUUCUUUCAAAAAGACUAUUUUAUCUAUAUCUUCUAACACUGAACCCAACACUUACACUGAGGCUUCUAAGUAUCAUUGUUGGAAACAAGCAAUGCUAGAAGAGCUUAAUGCUCUCAAUGCUAACAACACAUGGCAGAUCACUAUUCUUCCUCCAGGUAAGAAAACCAUUGGCUGCAAAUGGGUUUUUAAGGUAAAACACAAAGCUUAUGGAACCAUUGAUCGCCACAAAGCAUGGUUGGUAGCAAAAGGCUACACACAAUUAGGAGGUCUUGAUUUUUUAGAUACUUUUGCUCCUGUAGCAAAACUAACCACUUUAAGACUUUUACUUGCUGUUGCCACUUCUCAAAACUGGAUUCUUAAACACGCUUUUCUCCAUGGGGACCUCCUUGAGGAAGUCUACAUGCAACCACCACCAGGCCUCAAACUCCCAUCUCCUCAACAUGUUUGCAAAUUACAAAGAUCACUCUAUGGCCUUCGCCAGGCCGGCCGCCAAUGGUAUGCAAAACUGUCUCAAUUUUUACUUUCACAUAAAUACACUUUAUCCUUUGCUGAUCACUCUCUAUUUUUACAUCAUAACGGACCUAACAUCACCAUUAUUCUUGUGUAUGUUGAUGAUCUGGUGCUUACUGGAAACGAUCAUGAGGAAAUUGCCCAUAUCACCUCUCUGCUGGACACUCAAUUCAAGAUCAAAAACCUAGGAGACCUCACCUAUUUUUUGGGCCUGGAGGUGGCCAGAAACAGCCAAGGGCUCCACAUCUGUCAACGAAAAUACGUACUGGACCUUCUUCAUGAAACCAGCAUGAUCAAUUCUGCUCCUAUGCCUACACCCAUGUUCACUCAUCUCGGCUUUCCUCCUCCGUUGGCACACGACUCAAUGACAUUGAAACCUCUGAAUAUAGAAGACUCAUUGGCAAGCUCAUAUACCUAACCAACACACGACCUGACAUUGCCUUUGCUGUCCACAACCUCAGCCAAUUUAUUUCCUCUCCUACCAAUCUCCAUCAACAAGCUGCUUUUCGUCUUCUUUGGUACUUGAAAGGCAACCCUGGAAAUGGUAUCUUCUUUCACAACAACAACACUCUCCAACUUCGCGGUUUCAGUGACUCGGAUUGGGCUACCUGUCCUGAAACCCGAAAAUCAGUAACCGGUUACUCCAUCUUUUUGGGUGACUCUCUCGUCUCAUGGAAAUCCAAGAAACAACAAACCAUUUCCCAAAGUUCUUCUGAAGCCGAAUAUAGAGCCUUAGCCACAACCACCUGCGAGAUUCAAUGGCUAACCUAUAUCCUGCAAGACCUUGGUAUUUCCUAUAUCCAACCAGCAACCAUCUACUGUGACAACCAAUCUACAAUAAACAUUGCCUCAAAUCAAGUGUUUCAUGAGCGUACCAAGCACAUCGAUAUUGACUGUCACAUCGUCCGAGACAAGAUCACCGUUGGGCUUCUCAAGUUGCUUCCAAUCUCUUCCUCUAUGCAAAUUGCAGAUAUCCUUACAAAACCCCUUGCUCCAACAAUAUACAAAGAGAUCCAGUCCAAGCUGGGAAUGAGAAACAUAUAUUCCCAGCUUGAGGGGGGCUGAUAAAAUAACUACCCUUUAUUAAUAACUGCACACCUUUGCACACUUUUGUUUUGGGCCUUCCAUUUUUUGGGCUUUUGUUUUUCUCUUUGUAAUCUGUGUUUUGCUGUUUGACAUGUACAUAUAUAUACUCUUAUGGAUCCAAUAAUAAUUAGUUUUUCUGUGCCAUUAAGUUUCACAAUUCAGACUUCUUUCCCUCUCUCUGUUCUCUGUCUUCUCUCCCUCUCUGUUUAGGGUUUGUCAUCCUCUGUUGGUUGGUGCCUU